CAGGCGCUGACGGUGGCGACGCUGUUCCCGCUGGGCGGGCUGCUGCUGGUGCUGUCCGGGCUGGCGCUGGCGGGCACCGUGGUGGGGCUGGCCGUGGCCACGCCGGUGUUCCUGCUCUUCAGCCCCGUGCUGGUCCCGGCCGCGCUCACCAUCGGCCUGGCCGUCACCGGGUUCCUCACCUCCGGCGCGCUGGGGCUGGGCGGCCUCUCCUCGCUCACCGUGCUCGCCAACACGGCGCGCCAGGCGUUCCAGCGCACCCCGGACUACGUGGAGGAGGCGCGCCAGCGCAUGGCCGACGCUGCCGCGGCCGCGGGGCACAAGACGCAGCAGGCCGGCCACGCCAUCCAGAGCCGCGCGGAGGAGGCGCGCGCCGGAGGAGGAGGCGGCCACACCGGCGCCACCGGCGGAGCGGGCGCCGGCACCGGCACCAGGGCGUCGUCGUAAGCCGGAGCCAGCAGGCCGAUGUCAGUCCGCCGCGCCGCGCAGCAGGGCGCGCGUCGUCUAGCUACUACCUGCUCUAUGUGUGCUAGCGCCUUCGUACGUGUCUACACGAGCGAGUGUGUGUGCGUUCGUGCGUGUCAGUGUGUGUGUGUGAUGUUUCUACUGUUUUAGUACUGCUCGUGUUCGUCCGAUCGAUCGGUUUAGUACCGAGUUGUGAAUAAGAAAAGGCCCGGGCCGCUUCGUCUGUCCAUGCAUUUGCUUCUGUGCUGCUUCAGUGUGUGUGUGUGUGUGUGUGUGUGUGUGUGUGUGUGUGUGUGUGUGUGUGUGUGUGUGUGUGUGUGUGUGUGUGAUGUUGUACUACACGCUGCCGAUCAUUUGACAUCGACGAGGAUAAUUCACCAUUUGGCCCAUCCUUCGUACGAGAAUACUUCAGAAUCCGUCUUCCUUUUCUGAAACGAAGUUCAGAUUCUGUCUUCGUUGAAUGCGAAGCGUGCAAGACGAUUAUCCCAGCUCAAACUUAGUGACACAUCACCACUACAGACGUACAGACGUACUACGUGCCGGAGGCAAAAAUAAACACGUACACACGUCAGGUGCAGGAGUGAAACCAUCUCCCAAAGCAAGGCAACAAUAUACACCAUGGCUUGCUGGCCGCUGCACCCUUUUGUAUUUUUUGGAGUGAAUGGCGGAGCUUUACUGCACAAUGAAGUUUUAGGGCAUGCAAAUUGGAUCAGGAGAAUACAGAAACCACACAUGCGUAAGGUGUAUUGUUCGGCGUGUGAGGAAUGGAAGAGGCACGGACAUAACUUUAGGGCACCCCACUACUUUUUGCAUACAUUAGGGCAUCUCCAACGUUAUUAUUUUUUGCAUUUUCUUGUUCAUACGUUUUUUUAGGGGGGUUCUUUUUCAUACGUUAGGGAAUACGCUGACGGUGACGGGACACUGCUGUCGGAGGCCGAGGGCCGUCAUCCAACGCUGCUAAAUCAGCCGACAUUUAUCCAGUUAGGGUGGAAAAUAGUAUAAAUCUUCCAUACAUAGCAUACAAAUAAGUCGUCUAUAGAAAAUAGUAUAAAUCCUCCGUACAUAGCAUACAAAUAAGUCGUCUAGUACAAAAUGUCUCAAAUUCAACACCGGAUGUCCAAUAAGCUUCAUCAAAAUGUCUCAAAUUCAACACGGAUGUCCAAUAAGCUUCAUCAACGAAUUAUGUCGUCUCAUACAUACUGCCCUUCAGUUAACCGUGUGUACUUAAAUGACCGUGCAAUGGUCAUCUUUUCUCCAGCUGAGUUAUCACGGUGACACUAGUCUGAAUAGCGUACCAGUGAUACGGUAAUGAUCUCACAUGCCUUCUUGAAUAAUGUGCAUAUUGUAGGGAGCAAUGUGUUUUUGGGCGUGAAAUAAUUCAUGUACUUGCUGCCAGAAGGUCGUCCUCUACUCCCGCCUACAAAGUUCAUGGAUACGGCCAACCAUGUAUCGCACAACAGCUCAUCCUCCACGGUCGAGUACCCUGCCAUCCUUCGUACUCUGAAAGAAUGACAUCGCAUCCAAAAUUAAGCUAAAUGGCAUUUGAUCGAACACAUGUCGGGCGCGGUGUCUGCCGUGGAGGUUGUCGACAGGGGGCGGAGUGUACCUGAGUACAAACGACUCUAGGAUGGACAACGCCGUCAUAAAGGCGAGCGGGCGCGCCGAUGCUGGUUGCGGACGUUCGGCAAUGUCUCUGUGACGAUCGGAGAGGUAUAAGGGCCGUGACGAAGAUGGAGGGUGCCGAUGCAAUGUAAGGGCGAUAAGGGGUAGAGUGAAAGAAAAUGGGGCCAAGAGGGGGGGGGUUAGUGGGUCUCGGGUGCCGGAGUCCUACGUGGCUACAUGCCGGACUCCCGCAACCCCCCCCCCCCAUUUUGUCUCCACUUUGCAGGAGAAAGCAUGUCCGGACCGCCAUGCGGAACGAUACGGGCCCAAGUUGAAUGGCNNNNNNNNNNNNNNNNNNNNNNNNNNNNNNNNNNNNNNNNNNNNNNNNNNNNNNNNNNNNNNNNNNNNNNNNNNNNNNNNNNNNNNNNNNNNNNNNNNNNNNNNNNNNNNNNNNNNNNNNNNNNNNNNNNNNNNNNNNNNNNNNNNNNNNNNNNNNNNNNNNNNNNNNNNNNNNNNNNNNNNNNNNNNNNNNNNNNNNNNNNNNNNNNNNNNNNNNNNNNNNNNNNNNNNNNNNNNNNNNNNNNNNNNNNNNNNNNNNNNNNNNNNNNNNNNNNNNNNNNNNNNNNNNNNNNNNNNNNNNNNNNNNNNNNNNNNNNNNNNNNNNNNNNNNNNNNNNNNNNNNNNNNNNNGCCGUCAUAAAGGCGAGCGGGCGCGCCGAUGCUGGUUGCGGACGUUCGGCAAUGUCUCUGUGACGAUCGGAGAGGUAUAAGGGCCGUGACGAAGAUGGAGGGUGCCGAUGCAAUGUAAGGGCGAUAAGGGGUAGAGUGAAAGAAAAUGGGACCAAGAGGGGGGGGGUUAGUGGGUCUCGGGUGCCGGAGUCCUACGUGGCUACAUGCCGGACUCCCGCAACCCCCCCCCCCCAUUUUGUCUCCACUUUGCAGGAGAAAGCAUGUCCGGACCGCCAUGCGGAACGAUACGGGCCCAAGUUGAAUGGCACAACACGUCUGGACCACACUGCUCGAACGGUUGCGGGCAGUUUGAGGAUCGGCGUUGGAGAUGCCCAUAGUGCUUCAAAUUACCAUCAUUGCAUUUCAUACCUUUCAUGUUUACAUAUUAUUCAAAGUAGCACCAUUGCAUUUCAUAUUCUUCAUGUUUACAUAUUAGUUGGUACUUUUUCACUGUAGAACAAGCAAAGUUGGAUGAGCUUUCUCAAACACUUUAGGUGUUUAUAAACAAGCGAAGUUUGAUGCACGUCUCCACUAAGUCAUUUGGAGAGCUUUCAUUUAUUCAUAGCUUUAGUGAAUCCAUUGCAUGACAAUCGCUACUCCAUGCAUCAACAUCGAUUAUAUGACUUCUCCAUUACCUAAUGAUCAGUCACGUUGAUGCCAUACUUUCUUCCUUUUUGACUUCUUAUUAACCUCCAUUAUUUAUUUAUCUUUUUGUUUAAGUGUAAAGAUUAAGGCUCGCGCUAGAAAAUGCAUAACUCUAAGUUAAUUGAAACAAGAGAUUGUGUAGUUGAUAUACUUGACCAACACUCUGGCCACUUUAUGAUAAAAUUGUUUCUGAUACAAUUAAGACUUAGCAUACUAUGGUUUCAUGAUACACCUAACAUUGUAUCUGAACCUAAAAGGCAUUGGUGUAUUUGAUAUGAAAGCAUUGAUCCAUGAAAAGCGAGUGAUUUUACUUGCACUUUUUUAUGUUAUCUUCUUUUAUCAACUAUAAAACAUUGCAUUGCAACGUUGUUCUUUACCGUCAUACCUAAAUUACAUCAUAUUGAUUAUAAUUCAUGUUUGUAGCAUUUACAAUCAAAAUUUAUGUUGUUAUCAUCUAUCUGCUCGAGGACAAGUAUGGAUUUAGCCUGGUGAUGUUGAUACUUCUCAUAUAUGUAUAUUUCUUUGAUUGUUUCACGCUAGGUUUAUACUCCCUCCGUUUCUUUAUAUAAGGUGGAUUUGUUUUUUGAUGAAAUUCUAGAAUCUAAGGUGUAUUUCUUAUAAUUCUUCAUAGUUCCCUUGUCCGCCCACCAGAAAAAAGAAAACUAUCUUUCUCCUGAUUGUCUGUAUCUCUCCUUGUAGCAAAAGAAGGAAAGUAUCUCUAUGUCGAUUGCAUCUCUUACUUUCCUGGACUAACUGAUUUACCUGCCACUAACCAACAAAUUUGCCAAGGGUAAUUCCGUCCUAACAUGUCUAUAAUUAUGUGUUGGAAAUAUGCCCUAGAGGCAAUAAUAAAAGCAUUAUUAUUAUAUUUCCUUGUUCAUGAUAAUUGUCUUUAUUCAUGCUAUAAUUGUGUUAUCCGGAAAUCGUAAUACAUGUGUGAAUAAUAGACACCAACAUGUCCCUAGUAAGCCUCUAGUUGACUAGCUCGUUGAUCAACAGAUAGUCAUGGUUUCCUGGCUAUGGACAUUGGAUGUCAUUGAUAACGGGAUCACAUCAUUAGGAGAAUGAUGUGAUGGACAAGACCCAAUCCUAAACAUAUCAUAAGAUCGUAUAGUUUGUUUGCUAGAGUUUUCCAAUGUCAAGUAUCCUUUCCUUAGACCAUGAGAUCGUGUAACUCCCGGAUACCGUAGGAGUGCUUUGGGUGUACCAAACGUCACAACGUAACUGGGUGACUAUAAAGGUAUACUACGGGUAUCUCCGAAAGUGUCUGUUGGAUUGACAUGGAUCAAGACUGGGAUUUGUCACUCCGUAUGACGGAGAGGUAUCACUGGGCCCACUCGGUAAUGCAUCAUCAUAAUGAGCUCAAAGUGACCAAGUGUCUGGUCACGGGAUCAUGCAUUACGGUACGAGUAAAGUGACUUGCCGGUAACGAGAUUGAACGAGGUAUUGGGAUACCGACGAUCGAAUAUCGGGCAAGUAACAUACUGAUUGACAAAGGGAAUUGUAUACGGGGUUGCUUGAAUCCUCGACAUCGUGGUUCAUCCGAUGAGAUCAUCGAGGAGCAUGUGGGAGCCAACAUGGGUAUCCAGAUCCCGCUGUUGGUUAUUGACUGGAGAGUCGUCUCGGUCAUGACUACAUGUCUCCCGAACCCGUAGGGUCUACACACUUAAGGUUCGGUGACGCUAGGGUUGUAGGGAUAUGUAUAUGCAGUAACCCGAAUGUUGUUCGGAGUCCCGGAUGAGAUCCCGGAUGUCACGAGGAGUUCCGGAAUGGUCCGGAGGUAAAGAAUUAUAUAUAGGAAGUGCUAUUUCGGGCAUCGGGACAAGUUUCGGGGUCACCGGUAUUGUACCGGGACCACCGGAAGGGUCCCGGGGGUCCAUCGGGUGGGGCCACCUGCCCCGGGGGGCCACAUGGGCUGUAGGGGGUGUGCCUUGGCCUAUAUGGGCCAAGGGCACCAGCCCCAAGAGGACCAUGCGCCUAGGGUUCAAGAAGGGAAGAGUCUCAAAGGGGGAAGGCACCUCCUAGGUGCCUUGGGGAGGAGGGAUUCCUCCCUUGGCCGCACCCCCUAGGAGAUUGGAUCUCCUAGGGCCGGCGCCCCCCCCCUUGGACUCCCUAUAUAUAGUGGGGAAAGGAGGGCCUCUCAUAACACAUCUUUGGUGCCUCCCUCUCCCUCUCCAACACAUCCUCCUCCUCCAUAGUGCUUGGCGAAGCCCUACCGGAGUACUGCAGCUCCACCACCACCACGCCGUCGUGCUGCUGCUGGAGCCAUCUUCCUCAACCUCUCCUUCCCCCUUGCUGGAUCAAGAAGAAGGAGACGUCACGCUGACCGUACGUGUGUUGAACGCGGAGGUGCCGUCCGUUCGGCGCUAGGAUCUCCGGUGAUUUGGAUCACGUCGAGUACGCCUUCCUCAUCCCCGUUCUUUGAACGCUUCCGCGCGUGAUCUACAAAGGUAUGUAGAUGCAAUCCAAUCACUCGUUGCUAGAUGAACUCCUAGAUGGAUCUUGGUGAAACCGAAGGAAAAUUUUUGUUUUCUGCAACGUUCCCCAACAGUGGCAUCCUGAGCUAGGUCUAUGCGUAGUUCUCUUGCAUGAGUAGAACACAAUUUGUUGUGGGCGUUGAUGUUGUCAACUUUCUUGCCGCUACUAGUCUUAUCUUGCUUCAACGGUAUUGUGGGAUGAAGCGGCCCGGACCAACCUUACACGUACGCUUACGUGAGACCGGUUCCACCGACUAACAUGCACAAGUUGCAUAAAGGUGGCUGGCGGGUGUCUGUCUCUCCCACUUUAGUUGGAGCGGAUUCGAUGAAAAGGGUCCUUAUGAAGGGUAAAUAGAAGUUGACAAAUCACGUUGUGGCUUUCAUGUAGCUAAGAAAACGUUCUUGCUAGAACCCUACUUCAGCCACGUAAAACUUGCAACAACAAUUAGAGGACGUCUAACUUGUUUUUGCAGCAAGUGCUUUGUGAUAUGAUAUGGCCAAAGUUGUGAUGAAUGAUGAAUGAUCUAUAUGUGAUGUAUGAGAUGUUCAUGCUAUUGUAAUAGGAAUCACGACUUGCAUGUCGAUGAGUAUGACAACCGGCAGGAGCCAUAGGAGUUGUCUUUAUUUUUUGUAUGACCUGCGUGUCAUUGAGAAACGCCAUGUAAAUUACUUUACUUUAUUGCUAAACGCGUUAGCCAUAGUAGUAGAAGUAAUAGUUGGCGAGCAACUUCAUGGAGACACAAUGAUGGAGAUCAUGAUGAUGGAGAUCAUGGUGUCAUGCCGGUGACAAGAUGAUCAUGGAGCCCCAAGAUGGAGAUCAAAGGAGCUAUGUGAUAUUGACCAUAUCAUGUCACUAUUAUUAUUUGAUUGCAUGUGAUGUUUAUCAUGUUUUUGUAUCUUGUUUGCUUAGAAUGACGGUAGUAAAUAAGAUGAUCCCUCAUAAUAAUUUCAAGAAAGUGUACCCCCUAACUGUGCACCGUUGCGACACUUUGUUGUUUCGAAGCACCACGUGAUGAUCGGGUGUGACAGAUUCUAACGUUCACAUACAACGGGUGUAAGACAGAUUUACACAUGCAAAACACUUAGGUUGACUUGACGAGCCUAGCAUGUACAGACAUGGCCUCGGAACACAGAAGACCGAAAGGUCGAGCAUGAGUCGUAUAGAAGAUACGAUCAACAUGAAGAUGUUCACCGACGUUGACUAGUCCGUCUCACGUGAUGAUCGGACACGGCCUAGUUAACUCGGAUCAUGUUAUACUUAGAUGACUGGAGGGAUGUCUAUCUGAGUGGGAGUUCAUUAUAAUUUGAUUAGAUGAACUUAAUUAUCAUGAACUUAGUCUAAAAUAUUUAUAAUAUGUCUUGUAGAUCAAAUGGCCAACGUAGUCCUCAACUUCAACACGUUCCUAGAGAAAACCAAGCUGAAAGACGAUGGCAGCAACUACACGGACUGGGUCCAGAACCUGAGGAUCAUCCUCAUAGAUGCCAAGAAAGAUUAUGUCCUACAAGCACCGCUAGGUGAUGCACCUGUUCUCCCUGCAGAACAAGACGUUAUGAACGCUUGGCAGGCACGUACCGAUGACUACUCCCUCGUUCAGUGCGGCAUGCUUUACAGCUUAGAGCCGGGGCUCCAAAAGCGUUUUGAGAGACACGGAGCAUAUUAGAUGUUCGAAGAGCUGAAAAUGGUUUUCCAAGCUCAUGCCCGGGUCGAGAGAUAUGAAGUCUCCGACAAAUUCUUCAGCUGUAAGAUGGAGGAAAAUAGUUCCGUCAGUGAGCACAUACUCACAAUGUCUGGGUUACAUAACCGCUUGACUCAGCUGGGAGUUAAUCUCCCGGAUGACGCGGUCAUUGACAGAAUCCUUCAGUCGCUUCCACCAAGCUACAAGAGCUUUGUAAUGAACUUCAAUAUGCAGGGGAUGGAAAAGACCAUUCCUGAAGUAUUUGCAAUGCUGAAAUCAGCAGAGGUAGAAGUCAAAAAGGAACAUCAAGUGUUGAUGGUGAAUAAAACCACUAAGUUCAAGAAAGGCAAGGGUAAGAAAACCUUCAAGAAAGACGGCAAGGGAGUUGCCGCGCCCGGCAAGCAAGCUGCCAGGAAGAAGCCAAAGAAUGGACCCAAGCCCGAGACUAAGUGCUUUUAUUGCAAGGAAAGUGGUCACUGGAAGCGGAACUGCCCCAAAUACUUAGCGGACAAGAAGGCCGGCAAAACGAAAGGUAUAUGUGAUAUACAUGUAAUUGGUGUGUACCUUACCAGUACUCGUAGUAGCUCUUGGGUAUUUGAUACCGGUGCGGUUUCUCACAUUUGUAACUCAAAACAGGAGCUGCGGAAUAAGCGGAGAGUGGCGAAGGACGAGGUGACGAUGCACGUCGGGAAUGGUUCCAAGGUUGAUGUGAUCGCCGUCGGCACGCUGCCUCUUCAUUUACCUACGGGAUUAGUUUUAAACCUCAAUAAUUUUUAUUUAGUGCCAAGUUUGAGCAUGAACAUUGUAUCAGGAUCUCGUUUAAUUCGAGAUGGCUACUCAUUUAAAUCCGAGAAUAAUGGUUGUUUUAUUUAUAUGAGAGAUAUAUUUUAUGGUCAUGCUCCGAUGGUGAAUGGUUUAUUCUUAAUGAAUCUCGAGCGUAAUGCUACACAUGUUCAUAGUGUGAGUACCAAAAGAUGUAAGAUUGAUAAUGAUAGUCUCACAUACUUGUGGCACUGCCGCCUUGGUCACAUAGGUGUCAAACGCAUGAAGAAGCUCCAUGCUGAUGGACUUUUAGAGUCUCUUGAUUAUGAAUCAUUUGACACGUGCGAACCAUGCCUCAUGGGUAAAAUGACCAAGACUCCGUUCUCAGGAACAAUGGAGCGAGCAACCAACUUAUUGGAAAUCAUACAUACUGAUGUGUGCGGUCCAAUGAGUGUUGAGGCUCGCGGUGGCUAUCGUUAUGUUCACACCCUCAGUGAUGACUUGAGUAGAUAUGGGUAUAUCUACUUAAUGAAACACAAGUCUGAAACCUUUGAAAAGUUCAAGGAAUUUCAGAGUGAGGUUGAGAAUCAACGUGACAGGAAAAUCAAGUUCCUACGAUCAGAUCGUGGAGGAGAAUACUUGAGUCACGAGUUUGGCACACACUUAAGAAAAUGUGGAAUAGUUUCACAACUCACGCCGCCUGGAACACCUCAGCGUAAUGGUGUGUCCGAACGUCGUAAUCGCACUCUAUUAGAUAUGGUGCGAUCUAUGAUGUCUCUUACCGAUUUACCGCUAUCUUUUUGGGGCUAUGCUUUAGAGACUGCCGCAUUCACUUUAAAUAGGGCUCCGUCGAAAUCCGUUGAGACGACACCGUAUGAAUUAUGGUUUGGGAAGAAACCUAAGCUGUCGUUUCUAAAAGUUUGGGGAUGCGAUGCUUAUGUCAAGAAACUUCAACCUGAAAAGCUCGAACCCAAGUCGGAAAAAUGCGUCUUCAUAGGAUACUCUAAAGAAACUAUUGGGUAUACCUUCUACCUCAGAUCCGAAGGCAAGAUCUUUGUUGCCAAGAAUGGAUCCUUUCUAGAGAAAGAGUUUCUCUCGAAAGAAGUAAGUGGGAGGAAAGUAGAACUUGAUGAAGUAUUACCUCUUGAACCGGAAAAUGGCGCAGCUCAAGAAAAUGUUCCUGAGGUGCCUGCACCGACUAGAGAGGAAGUUAAUGAUGAUGAUCAAGAUACUUCUGAUCAAGCUCCUACUGAAAUUCGAAGGUCCACAAGGACACGUUCCACACCAGAGUGGUACGACAACCCUGUCUUGGAAAUCAUGUUGUUAGACAACGGUGAACCUUCGAACUAUGAAGAAGCGAUGGCGGGCCCGGAUUCCAACAAAUGGCUAGAAGCCAUGAAAUCCGAGAUAGGAUCCAUGUAUGAAAACGAAGUAUGGACUUUGACUGACUUGCCCGUUGAGCGGCGAGCCAUAGAAAAUAAAUGGAUCUUUAAGAAGAAGACAGACGCGGAUGGUAAUGUGACCAUCUAUAAAGCUCGGCUUGUCGCUAAGGGUUAUCGACAAGUUCAAGGGGUUGACUACGAUGAGACUUUCUCACCGGUAGCGAAGCUGAAGUCCAUUCGAAUCAUGUUAGCGAUUGCCGCAUUCUAUGAUUAUGAAAUAUGGCAAAUGGACGUCAAAAUGGCAUUCCUUAAUGGUUUCCUUAAGGAAGAAUUGUAUAUGAUGCAGCCGGAAGGUUUUGUCGAUCCUAAGAAUGCUGACAAGGUGUGCAAGCUCCAACGCUCGAUUUAUGGGCUGGUGCAAGCAUCUCGGAGUUGGAACAUUCGCUUUGAUGAGAUGAUCAAAGCGUUUGGGUUUACGCAGACUUAUGGAGAAGCCUGUGUUUACAAGAAAGUGAGUGGGAGCUCUGUAGCAUUUCUCAUAUUAUAUGUAGAUGGCAUACUUUUGAUGGGAAAUGAUAUAGAACUCUUGGACAGCAUAAAGGCCUACUUGAAUAAGAGUUUUUCAAUGAAGGACCUUGGAGAAGCUGCUUAUAUAUUAGGCAUCAAGAUCUACAGAUAGAUCAAGACGCCUCAUAGGUCUUUCACAAAGCACAUACCUUGAUAAGAUAUUGAAGAAGUUCAAUAUGGAUCAGUCUAAGAAGGGGUUCUUGCCUGUGUUGCAAGGUGUGAAAUUGAGCUCAGCUCAAUGUCCGACCACGGCAGAAGAUAUAGAAGAGAUGAGUGUCAUCCCCUAUGCCUCAGCCAUAGGUUCUAUUAUGUAUGCCAUGCUGUGUACCAGACCUGAUGUAAACCUUGCCGUAAGUUUGGUAGGAAGGUACCAAAGUAAUCCCGGCAAGGAACACUGGACAGCGGUCAAGAAUAUCCUGAAGUACCUGAAAAGGACUAAGGAAAUGUUUCUCGUUUAUGGAGGUGACGAAGAGCUCGUCGUAAAGGGUUACGUCGAUGCUAGCUUCGACACAGAUCUGGAUGACUCUAAGUCACAAACCGGAUACGUGUAUAUUUUGAAUGGUGGGGCAGUAAGCUGGUGCAGUUGCAAGUAGAGCGUUGUGGCGGGAUCUACAUGUGAAGCGGAGUACAUGGCAGCCUCGGAGGCAGCACAUGAAGCAAUUUGGGUGAAGGACUUCAUCACCGACCUAGGAGUCAUACCCAAUGCAUCGGGGCCGAUCAAGCUCUUCUGUGACAACACUGGAGCUAUUGCACUUGCCAAGGAGCCAGGUUUCACAAGAAGACAAGGCACAUCAAGCGUCGCUUCAAGUCCAUUCGUGAAAAUGUUCAAGAUGGAGACAUAGAUAUUUGUAAAGUACACACGGACCUGAAUGUAGCAGAUCCGUUGACUAAACCUCUCCCUAGAGCAAAACAUGAUCAACACCAGAAUUCCAUGGGUGUUCGAUUCAUCACAAUGUAACUAGAUUAUUGACUCUAGUGCAAGUGGGAGACUGUUGGAAAUAUGCCCUAGAGGCAAUAAUAAAAGCAUUAUUAUUAUAUUUCCUUGUUCAUGAUAAUUGUCUUUAUUCAUGCUAUAAUUGUGUUAUCCGGAAAUCGUAAUACAUGUGUGAAUAAUAGACACCAACAUGUCCCUAGUAAGCCUCUAGUUGACUAGCUCGUUGAUCAACAGAUAGUCAUGGUUUCCUGGCUAUGGACAUUGGAUGUCAUUGAUAACGGGAUCACAUCAUUAGGAGAAUGAUGUGAUGGACAAGACCCAAUCCUAAACAUAGCAUAAGAUCGUAUAGUUCGUUUGCUAGAGUUUUCCAAUGUCAAGUAUCCUUUCCUUAGACCAUGAGAUCGUGUAACUCCCGGAUACCGUAGGAGUGCUUUGGGUGUACCAAACGCCACAACGUAACUGGGUGACUAUAAAGGUAUACUACGGGUAUCUCCGAAAGUGUCUGUUGGGUUGACAUGGAUCAAGACUGGGAUUUGUCACUCCGUAUGACGGAGAGGUAUCACUGGGCCCACUCGGUAAUGCAUCAUCAUAAUGAGCUCAAAGUGACCAAGUGUCUGGUCACGGGAUCAUGCAUUACGGUACGAGUAAAGUGACUUGCCGGUAACGAGAUUGAACGAGGUAUUGGGAUACCGACGAUCGAAUAUCGGGCAAGUAACAUACCGAUUGACAAAGGGAAUUGUAUACGGGGUUGCUUGAAUCCUCGACAUCGUGGUUCAUCCGAUGAGAUCAUCGAGGAGCAUGUGGGAGCCAACAUGGGUAUCCAGAUCCCGCUGUUGGUUAUUGACUGGAGAGUCGUCUCGGUCAUGUCUACAUGUCUCCCGAACCCGUAGGGUCUACACACUUAAGGUUCGGUGACGCUAGGGUUGUAGGGAUAUGUAUAUGCAGUAACCCGAAUGUUGUUCGGAGUCCCAGAUGAGAUCCCGGACGUCGCGAGGAGUUCCGGAAUGGUUCGGAGGUAAAGAAUUAUAUAUAGGAAGUGCUAUUUCGGGCAUCGGGACAAGUUUCGGGGUCACCGGUAUUGUACCGGGACCACCGGAAGGGUCCCGGGGGUCCACCGGGUGGGGCCACCUGCCCCAGGGGGCACAUGGGCUGUAGGGGGUGCUCCUUGGCCUAUAUGGGCCAAGGGCACCAGCCCCAAGAGGCCCAUGCGCCUAGGGUUCAAGAAGGGAAGAGUCUCAAAGGGGGAAGGCACCUCCUAGGUGCCUUGGGGAGGAGGGAUUCCUUCCUUGGCCGCACCCCCUAGGAGAUUGGAUCUCCUAGGGCCGGCCCCCCCCCCUUGGACUCCAUAUAUAUAGUGGGGAAAGGAGGGCCUCUCAUAACACAUCUUUGGUGCCUCCCUCUCCCUCUCCAACACAUCCUCCUCCUCCAUAGUGCUUGGCGAAGCCCUGCCGGAGUACUGCAGCUCCACCACCACCACGCCGUCGUGCUGCUGCUGGAGCCAUCUUCCUCAACCUCUCCUUCCCCCUUGCUGGAUCAAGAAGAAGGAGACGUCAUGCUGACCGUACGUGUGUUGAACGCGGAGGUGCCGUCCGUUCGACGCUAGGAUCUCCGAUGAUUUGGAUCACGUCGAGUACGCCUUCCUCAUCCCUGUUCUUUGAACGCUUCCGCGCGUGAUCUACAAAGAUAUGUAGAUGCAAUCCAAUCACUCAUUGCUAGAUGAACUCCUAGAUGGAUCUUGGUGAAACCGUAGGAAAAUUUUUGUUUUCUGCAACGUUCCCCAACAUUAUGUGCCUUUACCACCGUGGCAAAAAUAAUACACCUUGCAUAGAGGAACGGAGGGAGUAUCAUUUUGGCAUAAUUUGGCAUCAACCUUUAUUAUUUUUCUAGACUACCUAUUUACUCAGCCAAGUGUCAGUUGUUGUUUUCUGCAUGUUUUUGAACUUUCAGGAACAUCAAUUUUACGGAGCUCCAAAAAUCCUUUCAAAAAACUCUAGAAAACAUUUUUCAACGAGAAGUUUCCAAAGGACUUGGGUCCCAUCUAGGACUCCACACAGCCAAGGUGCCCGCGUGGUACAACUAUGUGGCCCCCUGUGGCUUUGAAAACGUAUAUUUUUUUGUUCGCUCCAAAACCCCUAUACAUUGAGGAGUCUUUCUAUUUCCACAACCACACCUCUCUAUCUCAAAGUGAUACAAUCUAGAGGCCUUUUCCGGUGCUUUGUCGGAGGAGGAAAUCAUCUCAAUGUCUACGUCAACUUGAAGGCCACCAUGAUCGCUCGUGAGUAGUUUUCUUUGGACUAUGGAUCCAUAUCAAUAACUAGUUGGUUUUUCUCUCUAUUUCUUCUCAAUACAAAUAUCACAUGAGCUUCCCUACAUAAUUGUGAUCCAUUUAGUGUAAUUUGCUAAUGCAUUUGUUGCCAUGUGAUGAUUUUUCACUGUAUGACCAGAUCUAUCCAUUAAUUCUUUUGAGAUCAAUUUGGUUUCUUUGUUGCAUAAUUCUUACUCACAUAUGCUCACCGGUCUAUUUAUCUUUAUUUGGCCAAGUUUGAUGGAUGAUCUCCAAAAGGAAGUUGGGUUCAAUCUUGUAAGUAAUCUAUUGCAGUGAUAGGAAGUGGAAAAGGCUUGUAUUGUAUUGUAUUGUAUUGUAUUGUAUUGUAUUGUUGCCACUAGGGAUAAAAAUAUGAUUGUGUAGUUGUUCUUUUGAACGCGGGGUGAAGACAAUGUAUCAUAUACUUCGUGUCAUUAUACUUAAUGCAAUACUCUAUUUCUUUAACUUAAUACUUUGAUAUGCAUGUUAGAUAACGGUCUUGGGAUGGAGUAUUAGCUAUAGAUGCAGCAGGAUUAUGGUUUAUAGUUCUUUGGACAUGAUGGUGAUAUGCAACUAUACCAUGUAUAAUCAUACUCAUAAAAACUAUAAUUUAAUCGAUGAACAAGUGUAUUUUGUUCAUCACACCUUUCUACUUCUUUUGGAGAGAUAUCACUAGUGAACCUAUGGAUCCCGGUCCAUUCUUCUUCCUAUUGCUUUCAACCUCCAACAACGCUCUUUAAAAUUCCCUGUUUUAUUUCUUUGGAACUUUAACCUCCCAUACAUACUUGCAUUAAUCAUUGUAACUGACAAGGCUAGUAAGAUUGACAACCUUGCUAGUUUCGUUGGGGAUCAAGGCAGUUUUGUAUUUGUGUGUGUAGGUAUUGAUCAUUGGCUUCUUAGCAAACUCCUACUAAUUCAAUAAACCUUAGGGUCAUCCACUUUAAGGGAAAAUUGUUGCUUGCUAUAAAUAUUUACACUUGGGGGGUCCAACACCUUCCUAGUUGAGAAAAAGAGAUCCUGAAAACCAAAAAACCCAGGAAAGAAUUCCCAUGGUUUUCUCUUUGGACAAUUCAACACAUUAUGUCCCAGCCCAGAGCCAUCACACCCCAGUAAAGAUGGCAAUGGGUAGGGUACGGGGCGGGUAGAGCAAUACCAUACCCAUACCCGUGUAGUCAAUGUGUACAAAAUUCUACCCAUACCCGUACCCAUGGGUAUGAUACUUUACCCGUACCCAUACUCGACAGGUAACCAUACCCAUUGGGUACCUAAUGGAAAGUUCAAAUAGUACACAAGCUAUUCACAAUUUUACAUUCAUCUAUAGCACAUUUGACAAAAAAGCAUUGAUCUCAACUCAAUAACAAAUAGCCGAGUAGAUGAAAAUUAUCUCAAUUCAAAUUGACAAUUGGUAACAACUUUAACAUAGGUUCAUAAGCUCACAACACAACUUUAACAUAUGUACACUUGUGAUUGUGAAUCACGGGUAAGAUUCACAUGUCAAUAUAAAAUGGGUAGGGUAUGGUUAUAUCCAUGGGUAAAUGGCUAUACCCGUUCCCUACACAUGACUUAACGGGUAGGUGAAAGUGCGUUAUAUCGACUAGAGGGGGGGGUGAAUAGGCGAUUUUCAUGAAAGUCUUCAGAACAUAGAAGUUUUGAAGACAAACGAUAAAAUUAAACCUAUUACCAUGCAGCGGAAGGUAGACUACACUAGGCAAACCAUAGUCAAGUAUUCAAUGAAGUGAAAGCACAAAGACUAAUAGCAGCUAGGUAGUAAGGAUCAGGUAGGAAGAUAUUGUGAAGCCAAACAGAACACGCAGUCACUCAGUGAAGACAAAUGAUAGUACAAACAUACAAUGACUUCACAAGGAGUAACAGUAAGUAAAGGGAAGUGAAGAUGAAACCAGUGACUCGUUGAAGACAAUGAUUUGUUGGACCAGUUCCAGUUGCUGUGACAACUGUACGUCUAGUUGGAGCGGCUAGGUAUUUAAACCUUAGGACACACAGUCCCGGACACCCAGUCCUGAACACGCAGCUCAGGACACCCAGUCCUCACCGUAUUCUCCUUGAGCUAAGGUCACAUAGACCUCGCCCAACCACUCUGGUAAGUCUUCAAGGUAGACUCCCAAACCUUCACAGACUUCGUUCACCGGCAAUCCACAAUGUCUCUUGUAUGCUCAGAACGUGACGCCUAACCGGCUGGAGGAUGCACAGUCCUCAAGUGUAAUAAGUCUUCAGAUCACACAGACAAGAAGAUUUAAGUGAUACCCAAUUCUCUCUGGCUCUGGUGGUUAGGGCUUUAUCCUCGCAAGGAAUUCUCUCUCAAAGGCUUCGAGGUGGGUUGCUCUCAAACGACAAAAGCCGUACUAUCAAUCUGAGUAGCCAACCGUUUAUGGUUGUAGGGGGUGGGCUAUUUAUAGCCACUUGGCAACCCGACCUGAUUUGUCCGAAAUGACCCUGGGUCACUAAGGAACUGACACGUGUUCCAAUGGUCAGAUUUCAAACUCACACGGCAACUUUACUUGGGCUACAAGCAAAGCUGACUUGUCCGACUCUGGACAAGAAUCGCUCUCAUAGUCUUCACUCGAAGACAUAGGUUUUUGGUUUAGGCAUCACUUCAGUCAUUCUGACUGGUUCUCUUGGACACCACUUAACAGUACGGUGGUUCCUAUGACUCAACACAAAAGAAAAAGAACUACGACAGAUCUAAGUCUUCGAGCUCCAUAGGCUUCAUAUAGUGUCUUCUCUUGUCAUAGUCUUCAAUGUGAAUAUCUUCAUAUACCACCUUUGACUUCAAUGUCUUCAUACAUUUUUAGGGGUCAUCUCUGGUAGUAAAACCGAAUCAAUGAGGGACUUCUACCUGUGUUAUCCUGCAAUUCUCACAAACACAUUAGUCCCUCAACUAGGUUUGUCGUCAAUACUCCAAAACCAACUAGGGGUGGCACUAGAUGCACUUACAAUCUCCCCCUUUUUGGUGAUUGAUGACAAACUAGUUGAAGUUUUCAACGGGGAAUAUAAUCUGUGAAAUUUUAAAGGAUAAGGAAUUAUCUUCAUAAGUUGCAAGGGCUCCCCCUGAAGAUGUGCAUAUAAGUUAAUUUGCUUUUGGAAUGCAAAUGCACAUGGCAGGUUGUACUUGUGGAGAUCCACUUCAACUUAUGAUGACAAUCCACUAUGCAUGUGAAAGUAUAUGAAGAUAAUGACAUGCAUAAUGGAAAAUGGACGUCUGCAGAAUGAGCUAAGUGCGGAAUUUAUCGUCGCACAUGCGGAAUUUAUCUUCGCAAAACAAGGUGGCAAAUAAGUAGUAGACGAUCAUCUAGUCUAAGUGUUACAACUCAUAAGAACCAAAUGUAGCAAAAACGAGAGUUGUAAGCACGAAGCAAAAUAUAAAGCACCCGCCCAUAUGGACCCGCUUGAAGACUAUCAAUCUCAUAUGCUUCUCCCCCUUUUGUCAGUAAUGACCAAAAAGAUUUGAAGACAUAGAGCCUCUACUCGUUCCCACGAGGAGUAGGUGAAGUAGCAGGGUUGUUGGUGUUGUUUGGCGGUGCAGAAGAGCUUGGAGGUGCUGAAGGAGGUGGCGGUGAAGUAGCAUCGUCUUCUUCCUCAAUAAUUCUGGCAGUCACUGUGGCAGCAGAGGAAGAGAACUCAGAGUCUUCAAGGGAUAGAGUUCCUAGCAGCACAGCCCUUCGAGGAGGUGUGGAGUCAAACUUGAAUCUCUCAGUGAAGCCAUCCUAUUGAAGAUCAGCUUCAGAACACAUCAUCGUGAGCCCUUUCCAUGUGCGGCGACAGGUUUCAUGGGCAACGAAAGCAUUCUUGGUGGCAAGAUUUCGAGUGCGAUUAACAUCCACCAAGAGGCUUUUCAUCUGACGCUUCAACCAGUCAUGAUGCCUAUCCUGCUUCUGAUGUAGAGCCACAAGAAGCUCUCGGUCAUUGAGAACACGAGUGCGCUUCUUGGGUCUUGGAGCAGUGGCACUGUCAGUGGCUUCAGUGGAAGCAGGGUGUGGUGCACGUGUAGUGCCAGCCAAAGGAUACACCCGAGAAACUGCUUCAACUCCUUCAAUGUUCUGAGUAAAACUCUGAUGUUCUGCAUUCUGAAGACUUAGAGGUUGCUUGGCAGGCUCAGAAUAUAUGGCUUCGGUAGACAUGUCCACGUCAGGCAAGAAGAUCCGAUGAUUGCGGGCUGAGGGCUGAUACGAGAUGGCGGAGUGUAGCUUGAUCAGCCGCAUGACCCAAGGGGCGUAGAACUUCAAACCAAACAGAUCAAUGCCUGAUGCAGCAAGUUGGCGUAUGAAGAAGUCAUGUGCAUUGAAGCAUUUGCCAUGAAGUAUAUAGAAGACCAAAGUCUUCAUUGCACCCUGAAGCUUGGCAUUUGGAGAGUGCCCUUUGAUAGGCCAGAGAGUUCGCCUGAUGAUGUGAUAGAUGGUUCUUGGUAGAUACUCAAGGUCUUCAAUGAAGAACUCUGUGGGAUAAGCAGCAUCUUGGGGCAAUGGCUUCAUCAUGCUGAGCAUCUGACUCAUAUCAGGUUCUGGCCGCUGAAAGAUGCUCUCAAUAGCUUCAGUAUGCAGCUGACAGCCUUGCUCGAAGAGAUCGCCAGGAGUGGGCAAGCCAGUGAGCUCAAUGAUGUCAAAUGCAUUGGCUUCGUGAUGAACGUUGCCAGUCAUCCACUCCAGGACCCAAGUCUUCGGAUCUCUACUGUACCCUCUGAUGUGAAGUGUGGCAUAGAAUUGAAGCAGCAGCUCUUCAUUCCAAUGCUCUUCGUCAGUAAUGAACGGCAGCAGUCCAACUUUCUUGAAGCAAUCUAAAGCUUCUUCCAGAUAGGGCAGACCAGCUAUAGCUUCAACGUCAAGGCGCUUGUGUGGGAAGAUGCGACCUUGGUUGUACAGAAUGCAAGAGUAAUAGCUUCGCUGAGGAUAGCUCCAGAACCGAUCAGAUGGUAUCCUUUCCCUUGAGUAGGGGUUCCUGGAGCUAUUGAAGAACGUGUUGUCUGCCCUGAAGCCAUUGAUGUUGAAGGAGCCAGGUGCUGAUGCAGGACCUGAAAACCUUGGCUAUCUUGGGAUUGGCUUCUGGACCUGAGGCCUGUGCUCAACAUGAUAGUUGAAUUGGGGACCGGCAGCAGACUCAGGAACAGAAGUGGCGGGAUCAGUGGCUUCGCUGUCUUCUGAAGCUUUUGCUGGGGAGGGCUCCACAUUAGCUUCAUUGGUGGUUGUGGCAACCUCAUGAUUUUCAUCCUCCACUUGACUAGCUGGAGGGUCGGUCACAAGCACAUUCUCCUGGAGAACUGCUUCUUGGUGGGACAGGGGAGUGGGAUCUUGUGAGACUCCUUCUUCUGCGGCUGAUGCAGCCGGAAUGUCUUCAGCAGAGACCUGAGGCCUUGGACCUUUGCGAAGCCUGCGGAGCGCAGACGACACCUAUGAAAUUGAAGUGGGCUGGGCCUCAUAGUCUUCUUCCUCUUGUGGGCGAUCCGCCCAUGAAGCAUCCUGUGCAAUUGGCGUCAGUGGACGACCAAUGCUGAUGAGUUCACUGUUUUCAUGUUGAGGAAGGACUGCACCAUCUUCUACAUUGUCAUGUUGACCAAGGUCUUCAGCAGCGAUGGGAUCAGCUGCUGGAAUGUCUUCAGCUUCAUUAGCCUCUGUGGAAGCAGGCUCAUGAAUUGUCAGUUGUCGUUCAGCUUCAGGAUAGACCAUAGAAAUGGGUUCAACUAUCAAGGGCUCUGUGGAAGCAGCCCGAGCUUUCUUGGUCUUCCUCUUCUUCUUGGAGGGGGCAGUAGGUGAGGCUUCAGAGUGUUUCCUCUUCUUGUCUUCAGCCUCAGCAGUCCUUGUCUUCUUGAGCUCUGAAGCUGUUGACCGGCUUUUUGGCUUCGAGCCAGUCAGUCUAGUUGGGAAGACAAUCGGAACUGCUUCUUGCCUUGGUGCAUCAGGUUCAGCCGUAGCAGGCUUCUUCUCCUUCUUUGCGGCCAUCCUGGGGUCGAUGCCAUGACGCCCAAGUGCCUUGCGCUUCUCAGCCUCAUUAUAGGCUUGCACACAUCUGUCAGCCAGAGUCUUCAUGCGCUCACGCGAACCCUGAGCUUCUACACGCUUCUUCACAAAGGCUUCCUUGAGCUCGUGCAUCAUUGUCUUGAAGUUCUUCACUUCUUGCACGCUGAGCUUGGCCAUAUGCUUCUUGAACUGAGCCUUUUCAUAGUCAAUCUUCUGCUUCAGUUCAACAAUGCGCUGGGCAAUAGCAAGUUCUGAAGCAAUGGCGCCUUGGAAGGCGACACUGAGGCCAAUGGGUAGUUGCAGAUCUUCAAAGCUGAUGUUUGGCGUGUCAAACCACUCGUCAAUGAAGUUGUGGAUGAUGGUGACAUCAAAGAGAGGCAGAUCAUUGAAGAUUUCUGCUUCUUCUUUGCUCUUGAUGAGUUGCUCAAGAGCGUCAUCUGCAAGAUCUUCAUCACUUGACAGAACAAUGUCGUCAUUGCGCAGAAUGGCAGCAGCUAUUAGCUCUUUGCCAGUGUGAGACAGAGGCAUCUUGGCCUUCUGGGGCUUGGAGACGCGUGAUAAGUCUUCAGACUGCACACUGUUUUCAGGAGGUGCAGUUGCCAAUGGCUUCGCCCUUGAGAUUUUUGGUGAAGGGGCCGGCUUUGAAGCUUUUGGCUUCUUCAACUGCUUUGGCUUCGGCACUGCAGGCACGUCAUCAGACUCAGUGUCAGCUGCAGGCUCAUUCACUACAGUCCCUUGAACAAAGAUGUAGGUGAUGAGGUCUUCAAGGUUGGCGAAAGGACCGAUGACAUUGGGUUCUGCAUGUCGUGUGCCAUCUGCCCUUGGAGAUGAGGGACCAGGGUUGAAGUCUAACCCAAAAGUCUUCUUGUUCUGCUUUGCUGAGUUCUGAGCAAACUGGAAAUUGCGCUUGAACAGAUUGUCGUCACGACACCAUAGCAGUAACGACGAGUGUGCAUCAGCAGGCUGUGGUCCACGGACCAUGCAUGGAUAGAAGCCUUGAGCAAUGACUUCAUCUCUGGACCUGGGUAGAAGAUUCUUGAAUAGGAUGUUUCCCCACAGUCUCUUGAUGGCGUUUUUCUCAGCAUACUCCUAGGUCACAAAUCUGUAUUUGAACCAUUGUUCUGCCCAAUAUCUUCGAAUCCAUUGGACUCGGGUCUUGCGCUGACUGUAAUCCUCUUCAGGAUCUGUCUUGUACAUUUCUGAGAGUUCAUCUGGCAGAUCUCUGGAGGUCUCACCAUGACGCUUUCUGCCACCCUUCCUUACUGCUUUCUCUGAAGCCAUAAACUUUAACCCGAAAGGCUUCAAGACAUUCAAAGGCUUCAAAGGUUUUCGUUUGCUGGACCAACAGGAACUGGCUUCGGGAGAAUUUAUGUGAUGUUGUAAGAAUUCUGCAAAUGAAUGCAGACUAUGAGAACCAAAGGAUUCUCCCACGGACAUGUACCUGUGACAGCAUUAAGGUGCGAGGGAAGGGGAAGAGGUCAUAUGCAUUCUUAAAAGAUUUUGAAGAUAAAUCAGUUUAGAAGACAUUGACCUCAUCGUGCAAAGACAUUCACUCACAGAUAAGAAGUUGGUUCCAGAUUUGUACGAAUCCACAGAUCAAUACAAGUGAGGAAUCUAACUACUUUGUGAAGCACAAGUGAAUAUACUAGGCAUGUUAUGAGAUGCAGUAUGAGAGAGAUCUAGCUUGUGUGAACAGAAACUGCUUGUGGUAGAAAGUGACAAAUCCAUAGGAUCAAUGGUGUUGUAAAAAGAGGAAGUUUUAUUUACCACACUAAGAACUGCUAGACAGAGUGUAAGAUGAGGCCGAGCAGUUCGAUCUUCCGUGCCCUAACUUGGCGACGGAGGACACCUAUGGCGACGGCGGAGAGGACGAUGUCCGCGUUCGGCGUGAAGACGGCGUCGGAGAGGUUGCGGCAGCGAAGCGCUUCGUCGCCGACGUCGUCAGGGGCUAGCGGUGGCGCUAGGGUUCGUGCGAGGGUGGAAGAAGAGAUAAUGACCGCUGUGAGUGUGUAUUUAUAGGCACAAGGGCGGCACUGUGCUAUUACACAGGUGCCCCUGGCGAUUCGCAUCUGAGGAACAUGUGGCCAUUAUGCGGAAUUUUGGGGUUUGUUCCACGUCCCACGCACGCCUGGAUUGUCGGGUGGUCGUUCCUACUUCUCCAGAUUUCAUGUGGAGGAAUGAGCAUUGAAAACGGACUUAAUGGUUGUCUCUGUAUCUUCUGCUGACAAGGACGCAGAGAAGACAUACGACAGUUUCAAUAAAAUGCAUAUGACUUGGGGAGAUAGAGUUUGAGAUAGAAAGCAUAGAGAGGUUAGGGUCCGAUCACAUUCACUUAGUUCAAAAGAUUCAACACGAAGACAUAGCUAUAAGUGAAUGCUGUAGAGGACAGAACACUAGUGUGUGUGUAUAUAUAUAUAUAUAUAUAUAAUCAACAUAGUGAAGAUAAUCAUGAAUAUAUGUUGAGAUCGAAGCCAAACCAAAUGUGAAGACAUUGCAAGGUAACGCCAUGAGUGAAACACUUCAAGAUAGAACGUUUGGUGGUGGUGUUACCCACCGUAUAGGAAUUAUUAGACCCAGACACGGCGCGUAAUUAUCGUGGCGCUCUGAAGUCAAAUUCCACAUUAAUGUAUUCACACUUAGAAUGUAUGUCUUCAUUGAUUGAAGAUAUACUUUACUUUGUGUGUUGCACAUCUAAGUUAUCAAUAUGCAUAAGGGUUAGGAUGUGUGCCUGAUCACAAGACAUUUGAGGAUUCCAGGAUAUUUAGCUCACACCGUAACUUGCAAAACCUCUUCUCAUCCAAGGGCUUGGUGAAGAUAUCUAUCAAUUGCUCUUCAGUGUUGACGUGUAUGAUAUCAAUGUCUUCCUUCACAACAUGAUCUCUGAGAAAGUGAUGACGAAUUUCAAUGUGCUUUGUCUUUGAGUGCUGAACUGGGUUGUUGGCAAUCUUGAUGGCGCUUUCGUUGUCGCAGUAAAGUGGCACUUGCUUCAGAUGAAUGCCAUAGUACUUGAGUGUUUGCUUCAUCCACAGAAGCUGAGCGCAGCAAGAUCCAGCAGCAAUGUAUUCAGAUUCAGCAGUGGAGAGAGAUACACAGUUCUGCUUCUUUGAAGACCAACAUACAAGUGAUCAUCCCAGAAAGUGACAUGUGCCUGAUGUAGACUUGCGAUCAACUUUGUCACCAGCAUAAUCAGCAUCCGAGAAUCAGGCCACAAGGUGUUUCCUGAUUGCUAGUCCAUAUUUCUACUGAAGUUAAAAUGGACGUUGUAGCCAUCGUUGUCGCCAUCGCAGUCCUGACGCGUACUUGAGGAGGUGGCAACUUAUACUUGCCUCGCUCCCCCUCUUCUCGUCUUUGCACACUCAUCAGAGCAUGCUAUCUAGCAACCAACUCAUCUUCCAUGCAAGUCAACGCCAAGCACCUCUCCUCGUUUGUCUUCCUUUUCUCGGUGCAGCGACGCUCCUUCGCCAGUCAGAUCUCAUCCUCCCUUCGUUUGUUCUACACCACCACUUCGCCGCCAUUUAUUUUCGUCCCAUCUUCGACCUUCUUCUCACCUUUCUUGAUCCAGACCGAAUCUACCGUGACCCUGCCCAUCCAGAUGAGGUGGGUAACGACGGGAGGGGGUGAUGAUUCCCCUAUCUCUGAUCCAUCGCCGGUGGAGCAACAACUACUUGUGUGUAUGAUCUAGCGAGCACUCUAGGAUCAGAUUCGACACUUCUCAUUAUUAAUAUGAUGAAGAAAAACUUUUGCCUCCAUUAAAAAGACACGACGUGCCCACAUCGGCGAAAACAACACCAUGGUCUUCGUUCAAACGAUAAUCCAUUCAACGUGGUCAUCAACAAGUAAAAGGAAGAACAUAGAAGGUUUCAAUUAUAAGAUAAAAUAUCAAGAAAAAAUAUAUUAAAAAAAUAAAAUGUUAAUAAAAAGUGUCUUGAAAACAUUAAAAUUUCAUACAAAUAGGAAUCAUAAAAAACCGCUAUGAAAAUUCCUCUUUUCUUACAUACCCUUUUAUAUUUUUUCUUAUAGUAUGACAUCAUUGUUGCCCUAUAUGAUAACAUGUUAUUCAUGUAUCCAUCAAACAGACAUAAUACAUCCAACGUAGCCACCUAGGUAUAAAGAAGUAAACAAUUUUAGAAGGCUAUAAUGUUUUCACAAAGAAGAUGAUAUUAGUGCGUUGCCUUUGACUGACUCAUUUAAUGGUGAACAAAACCUCGAUAACUCUUUUCAAGGCCAAUCCUUCAAAAUAGGAAUGAUGCAUGUGUGUCCUUUGGAGUCUAUCGUGCAUCCCAAAACCCACAACCAUGGACGGAGCUUCCUUGUAAGCAAUGGGGUCAACUGAUCCCAAUGAAGUUAGCAAAUCCUUCACUAAUUUAAUACUAAUCAUUAUUCAUUUAUAGAUGAUGACCCCACUAAUAUAGACAUGAUCCCACUAAGUUUUUUCUAGCUUCGUCCUUUGCCCACAGCUACCACGAGAGUACAAGAGAUCAACGUAGUAGUGGUUAAGGUUUGGGCGUUUGGGUGUUGCCCACGGGAAGUACAUGGCAGACCGCUAUCGAGAAAGAGACCUCACACUUCACAUUUUUCUAGAUAUUUGUAGUUUUGUUUUAUAUACAACUUGAAAUUUACUAAAUUCACCACGAAGAGUAGAGAAUGCAUAAACUCAUCGAUGAUCACAAUUACUCUUAUGAGGUGCUUUCAAGAAGAAACAUAUAUAUAAAAAUACUAAGCUCCCCUAAAAUAAAGCUACCUGGUGGGUCAUGAGCCUUGUAGGCGGGAGGGCCUAUGAUGUCAGGCAUGUCAUACGACACUGUGGUAACCUGAUGGAUGUGCCGCACUUUAUUCUGUGAAUGGAAGGCUGAAUGUGAAGCAUCGUGCAUGCAUCCACUGAAAAGCGUCGUCUGCAUAGCAGUGUUCCUUCCCUAGAGACAUCAGGCCGGCUAUGUAUAGCACUUUCACCACCUCUUGACAUCAGAUCCAGCUAUGUAACUCCACCACCAAAAAUAAAAAAUGGUCAUCCAUCCUACCAUGGCUUAACCGCAAACAAAACAAGAAAAAUAAAAAAGAUACGUCCAGCCGAUAAACAACAAGAGCGCCAAAAAAAGCCAAUAGCAAAAUGCCCAAACAAUGGAGGCAGGCAAAUCUGAUGCAAUACAGAAAAAUGUAAGAUAUAAAUAGCUUGUGCUUAUGAAGAAAUACUAAUUAACGAAUGUCAUUAGUAAAGGGGUGUGUUCUUGAAGCAACCCCUCAAUAUGGAUAUAUAUAUACUCUUCAUAUCAAUAUAUAAAAUCGCUUGAUUCGUUCUCUCUCUCUCUCUCUUUUAACUUCAUUCUACAUUUUUUUCAUAUUUUUUGCUUUAGGUUUUCCUUUUUUACUUUUAUGAAAUAUUGUUGAACCACACACAUGCGCGCAGACACAAUUGUUUUGGAGAAAUACACGAACAUUUCUUAUUAAAAAUGCAUGAACAUUUUUUAAAAUCUCAAGAUCAAGUUUUAAAACUCAUUUUUUUCAUAUAUGUGAAUACCUAAAUGCGUGAACGUUCAAAAUAAAUAAAUACUUGAGCACAGUUUAUAACCACGUGAACAUUUUUUGAAUGCGUAGUCAUUUCUUAAAAGGAAAUAAAAGUGAAGAAAAAUAACAAACAAAAAGAAAAAGGAAACAUCUGACCAACCUAUGCUAAUGGGCCGUCCCAAUAUAUAAGGUAGCGGGCGCUAUAAAGGGUCCUAUCCGGGAUAAGUUUUGUGCUGUUGGGGCUCUAUGGCCAGCGCAAGUGUGAAUUUUCUCUAAAACACGCGUCGUAUUUAACCUUUUUUUAGAAGAGUGCUGUAUGUAACUAAACGAUGUCUUUUUUCUCACAUCUAAAACCGACCUCUAACAAACGUGGAGGACGGCACCACCUCCUAACAUAAUUUUGGAGGAGCCGGACGACGAAGCCUCAAAAUCAGAUAAAGAUCCUCUUCAAAAAAAAAUCAGAUAAAGAUGUCUCCGACGCAACUGGACUUCCACUAGAUUUUUAUAGGGGUCGGGAGGGAAAGAUAUGCUGUUUUCUAUCAGUCCCAAGCGGAUACUCCCCAGCUUUCACGGUCCGCUUACCGAAGAAGAGAUGCGGGAGGACCCAGGGCCAGAGCAAGUUGGGUUGGGGUAUAGAACCGUAAGCGCGGUGGGGGUGACAGAGGAUGUGCUCGUGCGGUUCAUAGUUGGGUAAGGAAAACCUUCUAGCUCAGUGUAACUAAAGUCCACAACCCAGAGACCAACCCUAGGGAAAAAAUUGACUCAUGACGAAGAAUGACGCGGCAAAGCGCAUGAUUGUUUCUUGUGUUACUUGAAGCCCACAAAAUGAAUUGACCCAUCUAACAAGUGGUUAUCUCCAUUCAAAAAUAAUUGACGCGGUUUUAGUUGAAUUUGUUUGAGGGGAUUUUACUUUUAGUUUUAACUAAAACCACAUCGGUUAUUUCUGACAGAGGUAAAAAAUCACAUGUCGGCGAGGCCUACUGAAUUAUGUUCUUGGUGACAAGUGUCUUGCCCAUGUAACACAUGUUUUCAGUGCUUCGACACAAGACCCACGCUGUAACCUCACUUGUCCUUCUGGGAAAAUACUCCGACAUAAUCUGAAUAAUAAUGCGACAUAGCGAGACUGGCAUAUCACUAGGAAUAUGGUCCCUGUCUGUUGUGCCAAAUACAAUUCGUGAUAAUUUGAAGCUCACAAAACGAGUCGGCGCCUCUAGCAAGUCAUUAUCAAGAAAGAGAAUCACUAGUCGACGAUGCCUGGAAAAAUUAGAUUUCCAAGAUUUCAUCCUCACUUGUUUGAGAAAUAUUCCAAUUUGGUAAUGUGGCACAUCAUUGAUAAUAGCUAGACGACGGGAUCACUGCACGAAAUGGUACCUGACCAUUCGUCUCUUCCAAAUACAAAUUUGGCACACGCGACGGCUGGACGCAUGUACCACCAUACGAGUAGCUGGUCCACGUCGGCCACUGCGAAAGGGCAGCUGAUUCCACACACUGUCUCUCCUGUCAAGCGGGCCCCACACGCCAGGCCCGCCGACGGAAGGGCCACGACGAACCAUCACGCACUAAAAGAAGAGAAGUUGCUCAAAAAGAAGAAGAAGAGAAGACAUCUAAAUCAAACAUAACAUGACGUCAUCUUAAAAAAAUGAAGCACACUAUAUAUUUCGCCGCAAGCAUCCGAAACAUGUACCACCCAUGACCAUACGAAAAUGAACCCAAACAGUUGUGAUCGACAUCCAUGAGCUGAUUUCCCAGAAAAGGCAUGCAUGGAUACACUAAAGCAAAUUUACAACUAACUUGCGGCCAUCCAUGAUUAAUCGUUCGAAUGAACUAAUUUGUGGCGAUGUGGCUGAGUGUGAGGGCAGGAAAAUCAUGUAAUGGGGGGCUUUUAUUUUGAUAUAGUAGAUUCAGCACGAAGAGUAGAGAACCCAUGCCCUCAUCGAUCAUCACAACUACUCUUAUGAGUUGUUUUCAAGAAUAUAUAUAUGACGUAGUUGUAGUGCUAGAAUGCGAAGCCCACAAAAUGAAUCGGCUCCUCUAAUGGGUCGUUAUCAAGAAAGGAAAAAGUCAUUAUCAAAAAUGAAAAUUAUAUGCCGGUGAGGCCAGCUAAAUCCAGCUAAAUUAGAUUUCUUGGUGAAAAGCGGCUUGCACAUGGACCACAUGUUUACAGUGUUUUUGAUACACAAGAUCUCAGAUGUAACCUCACUUGUCUUUUUGGGAAAAUACUCUGACAUAAUCCGAAUAAUUAUGUGGCAUGAUGAGACAUAUCACUGGAAAAAUGGUCCACAUCCACCUGCGCUAAAUACAAAUGUGUGAUAAUGUUAAGUUGCAAAAAUGGGCCGACACCUGUACCAAGUCAUAAUCAACAACAAUAAUCAGAUGUCGGCGAUGCGAUGCCUGUAAAAUUUUCUUUUUAUAACAAAAAAUAACUCCAAGGAGCCAGCGCGCACCGAAGAGAAAGACGCGUGGAGGAAAGUUAAAAGGAAAAGGGAAAAGGUUAAAAAAAAAAGGAAGACAGCGACGGAUCGAUCGGGAGCGAGCGAAGCGAACAAAAGCGCCCCACGGACCUCGCCGUCCUUCUCCAUGCCCUAGCGCGCACAGCACGGCACAGCCCACNNNNNNNNNNNNNNNNNNNNNNNNNNNNNNNNNNNNNNNNNNNNNNNNNNNNNNNNNNNNNNNNNNNNNNNNNNNNNNNNNNNNNNNNNNNNNNNNNNNNNNNNNNNNNNNNNNNNNNNNNNNNNNNNNNNNNNNNNNNNNNNNNNNNNNNNNNNNNNNNNNNNNNNNNNNNNNNNNNNNNNNNNNNNNNNNNNNNNNNNNNNNNNNNNNNNNNNNNNNNNNNNNNNNNNNNNNNNNNNNNNNNNNNNNNNNNNNNNNNNNNNNNNNNNNNNNNNNNNNNNNNNNNNNNNNNNNNNNNNNNNNNNNNNNNNNNNNNNNNNGAUCUGAAUUUCUGCACGGGCGGUCUCCCACGAGGAGUGGGGUGUCGCGGUCGCGCCGACGGUGUCGGGAUCGGCGGCCCGCCAAUCGCCGCGGCGGGGGAGUGGUCCGCGUUUCUCCGCUGAUUCGGCCUCCGCCGCUGGCAGAUCUGUUCGGAAGCGUGCGUGUGGGGUUCGGUCUAGAGGUCUGAUCGAGGUUCUGCCCGUGCCGCGGGGGUUGGUCGGGGGAUUCAGAAUCGUCGAUGCCGAAUUUUGCUAUGGCGAAUCUGCACCUCUGACGGGAUCUGCGGGUGCUGCUGGAUUCUGUUGUAAGAGCGCCCACCUUAAGGUGGUUGCAGUUGCGUUUAAUUGUUAGGUCUCCUUCGAGCCCUCGCCGAGUAAGAGUUAUGUAGAGUGUAGUUGUGCUUGCUGCGAGCCGUUUGAUGAUGUUGACUUGGAUUAUUUGCGCCAAGAGGAGGUGUUGCGCCUUUAUUAUUACUCCCUCCGUUCCAAAAUAGAUGACUCAACUUUGUACUAACUUUAUACUACAGUUAGUACAAAGUUGAGUCAUCUAUUUUGGAACGGAGGGAGUAUUAUGUUACUGCAUUACUGGGAAAAUUACCCUUGCCUUUUAUGGACGAAUAGGAUAAUUGAUGGAAACGUCAAUUACCUUUUAACGACUUUUUUACCUGCUGUACCCGCCACAUGCCGACAUUUUUGACAUCUUGUACACGCAGGAGUAUGAUUAACUACCACUAGAAUUGCGUAGGUCUUGACAAAGUUACGUCUCAUUUCUGCAGGUCUUUGUUUGCUGCCCUCCAACACUGUGCUGUGCAAUAACCUCUUGAUAACAUACCAAGUCAAGAGGUAAUCAUGGCCGAUUCCAUGGCGGAUUCGAUGGUGGCGAGCUUCUGGGGGCCGGUUACAUCAACCACUGAGCUGUGCGAGGAGAACUAUGCGCGCUCGUCAUACAUUGCAGAGUUCUACAAUACUCUCUCUAAUGCCCCGUGCAUUCUUUUGGCGCUUAUUGGGCUUGUGAAUGCUCUCCGCCAGCGUUUCGAGAAGCGCUUCAGCGUCCUGCACAUAUCCAAUAUGAUACUUUCCAUUGGGAGUAUCAUCUUCCAUGCAACCUUGCAACAUGUGUAAGUUUUUAGUUAACUGUACUGGUAUUCUUGGUUGGUAUUAAUUGUAAUCAUGCAAUUCUGGGAGUUAGCCCUUUUGCUUGUUGAAUGUUGUUCUUUCCUACUACGCGCAUCUUGCAAAUUGUGCACACAAUGAUUGAGUGGGUUUUGGUUACAACAUUUUAUCUCAUGUGGUAGAAACUAGGGUAAUUUCCUCUUUCUUUUUUAUUAGUUAUGGCUUUGCUUCAAAACAUCAAAGUUAAAAUUUAAGCUCCCUACCAUUUUGAGGAGAAAAAAGCUCUACAACGCCAGUUGUUAAUUUGCUCAGAGGUGGUUUCUUCCUUCACCGUGACCAUUUUCAUUAUCUUUUUGGCUGAUUUUCUCUCUACAGUGGUUACAGCUUAGUAAGUGAACAUGAUGUAGUAUUGGCGACUAUAAAUUGUUGAAAUACAGAGAACGUAUCAUUAUUUGUAGAUCUGAGUUUGUUAGGUACUAUCUCCCAUGACACACCUUUUACAUUUAGCGACUCGAGCUUGCAUUUGAUUGAGAGUUUCGGAUUACAGAAAAUAAAUGCACCUUUUAUGAACCUAUAUUUACUGCCAUUUGAAUCAUUUGCAGAAGAUAUUUUGUUAACAUGAAUUUGUGUUAAGUUUGUAUUAGUACUAUAAUAUAUUGCGCCCUGCUAUUGUGAUUGUUAUCUUGCCGUUCUUGACCUGAAUUUUUCUUUGAUCUCGCUGCUGUGGAUAUUCAAAGAAGUGCAUUUUACUUCCGCUGACUAUUGCUUACAACAGUGUUGUUAUUAUCCGUUGCACAAAGCCAAAAGCCAUAAACAAUACAUUCUUUGUUACUUCUAUGUGAUUCUGUUAGAGCACCUUGUAAAUUUUUGGUGAACGUUCCCUUUAAUAAUUUGAAAAUUUCCCUACUCUGAGAAGUUACAAAAAUACAGGCAAAUUACAAACAAAACAGGACCGUCUUUAUAGGUCGAAAACUUGGGUACAGAAGGUUGCAUUGAUAAAUUACAAGCCACAUUAGAUUGUUUUCUCCAUUGAGUCUUGCUUUCAAAACUCUAUGCUUAUUUGAUGUGAUGCACUGAUGAGUGAAUAUGCACUUGCGCACCCCAACGAGUGAUUUAUUUGGAAUGUUUUGAAUUAAAAAUUGGGCAUGUUUGUACUUAUGCCCUGGCUGACCAUCAACAACUGGUGCAGCUGUUCAUUGCUGAAAUGGUGUCUGUGUUAAAUGGUUUUCUUAUGUUUAUGACAAAAUUUCAGUAGUUACAGGCGCUCACUAUUUGCCACUCCUGUUGGUCCUUCAAAAAAUGCAUUAGGGUAAUCUAGCUGCCUUUUGGUUGGCAAAUUAGUAAAUUGGAAGUCUCCCGGAUAAAGCAACUUACGUGUUUUGGUGGACACACGAGGCCCCUCCCAAUGCUCCACCUUGUACAGGUGCUAAGGCUGCCAUGUAGGCUAAAAGUCUGAUGUGGCAAGGUAAUUAAGAGGAGAGAGGUGAGUGGUGACCCCAGGAAGAAACAAUGCGAAGCGCGAGAACCUAGGCAAAACAUUUAAAUGGAAGAAUCCCACCAAUACAUGAAGAACUUUAGUUGCAAAAUUAUUAAAUGAAGGAUGCUUAGCACCAACAAGUUAAGCACCUAUGCAUUGGGGGCUUUAGUUGCUAAAGUUUUUAAUGUGCUUAGCACCUCAUGUAAGCACCAAUGCAUUGGAAGUAGCCUGAUGCACAUCAUUAGUUACCACUUACCUCCUUAACAACUGUCUGUGCUGCAUGUACUUUGAAUUAUAAAUACCAUAUCCGUUACAUCACAAUCACAAUCAGUGAGUUGCUUCAAGUACUAUGUAGAGGGGAUGCAUUCCUGUAAUUAAGACCAUGAUGUGCAAGUUAAAAUUCAUUCUCUCUUAAUCUGUUGAGUAAAGGCUGUGCAUUUGAGUCCUCAUGGAUCAUCACAGGCAUUUUCUUGGUGUGCUUCUCAGUUUCAGCAUGUCUAACUAAAGCCAAAUUCUUCAUAUUAUUUUCUUUCUUUUUUGCUUUACUGCAUGCAAUAUAUAAUAUAAUAUAUUGAUUUGUGUUGGCCAUAUUUCGUUUUCCAGCUUACAGCAGAGUGAUGAGACUCCAAUGGUGUGGGAAAUCCUCCUAUAUCUGUAUGUCCUUUAUUCACCAGACUGGCAUUACAGGAGCACCAUGCCUACUUUCCUUGUCCUAUACGGUGCUGCAUUUGCUGUAGUUCACUUCUUCGUGCGAUUCCAAGUAGUAUUCAAGUUGCAUUACAUUGGCCUCUGCCUUCUCUGCAUCCCGCGGAUGUACAAGUACUACAUUCAGACGAAAGACCUGGCUGCCAAGAGGCUCGCGAAGCUGUGGGUUCUUACCAUAUUCCUGGCGACAGUUUGCUGGCUAGUUGAUCGCAUCUUCUGUAAGAAGCUCUCGCUCUGGGUCAUCAACCCGCAGGGACACGCAUGGUGGCAUGUGCUUAUGGGCUUCAACUCUUACUUUGCAAACACAUUCUUGAUGUUCUGCCGAGCUCAGCAGCGUGGGUGGGAGCCGCGCAUUAUCCACCUCUUUGGAUUUUUGCCUUAUGUCAAGAUUCAGAAAUCCAGAAAGAGGGAGUAAGUCAUCUGUCGAGUCGAUCAGCGGUGUUCUGCAGGACCAGAAAUCUAAUGUCCACCAAGCGCGCAAAAAAACAAGCGGUGGCAUUUUUUGUAAAUGGGCUUCCAAGUGAUUACGGACUACAAAUGAAUGUCAGUCAGUGAUGUCUCGAUUGAUUUUGGUAACUUUUAACUAACGCCCUGUUUUGUACCAUACUCGAUUUCAACCAGAGAUUAGCUGGAGUGCCCGUCUCUUACUUUCAAUCUGCAGCAGUUUGUCUUUGCGAACUUAUAGGACUUCUUAUUUUUAUUCUUUGAAUUUGACUUGAAAUGGGAUUGAAUUGUAUUAGUUUAACUUACUGCUGGGGUUGGAUGGUGUCAGAUUCAUGUUCGUGGUAACAGUUGAUUCUUUCGUUAAUCGAUGCUAUUUGUGAACUAGUGCCUGGAGGCUGGUGUGUAUUACGUUUGAUCUUUGUGCACCAGCUGAUUGUGGAAGCAUGGCUAUGAGUCUUAGAGCAAUUUUAUUUUCCUAAUUGUUCAUUGAACUUGCUCACACAAGCAAAAGGGUAGCCAUCAAGGUGCUGAAAGUUGAAAAUGAAGGUUGAAACGCACACAUUUCUGCUCGCCAUUGGUUUUCUCCCGGUUUUUUGAAUUAACUGGGCGAUUCUCUUCUUAAUUAAUUUGAUUGAUGGGGCAACACUUUCGCCUCCGUUUAGGAGAAGAAAAUUCUGCUCAUCGUGUCAUCAUCCUAUACCAUGCUUCUGGCCUGUGCACGUCAUGCCUGUACUUGUCUAGUGAUAGUCUUGAUGGAAUGAUGGGGACCCUUGACUGCCAAUGUCGAAUCAAUGCUUCAGCCCAUGAGCCAUGUCUAUGAGGCUGCCGACUAGGAAGGAGUGGAAAUCGACACAGUAGUUAGUUUUGGGGACAGGGAUUGAUGUAAAGGGGAUCGUAAGGGCAACUCCAAACGGGAGUCGCCAAAUGUCUCAACCAGCGUGUUCGGACAUUUUUUGCCAUCCACCGGCAGUCAUCAAAUAUCUGUAAACUAACCCGAACGUUUGAAAUCACACAAACAGCCCCCAAACUUAUAGGUGGCUGUGCCUAAGACCAACGACAAAGCGCUCUGAACUUAGGGAAGGAUUGGGGGAGUCCGGACACACGAACUCAGCCUUGAACCCAUCAUAAAUUCAUUUUGUAUCUUUCUUUUCUCUGAUCUUUGCAUUGGACAAGGGACGGGUAUUUGUAAAUGCUAACCUGGACGUUUGAAAUCCCACCAACAGCCCCCAAACUUAGAGGAGGUUUGGGGGAGUUCGAACACGCUAACCCGGCCUUGGACCAACCACAAAUCGCCCCUAAACUUAGGGGAGGGUUGAGGGAGUCCAGACACACAAACUCAACCUUGACCCCAUCAUAAAUUAAUCGUUUGUCUUUCUUUUCUAUGAUCUCUACAUUGGACAAGGGGCGGAUAUUUGUUGGAUGGCCGGCGCCCUGGAGUGCCAAUGUCGACUUCAAUCCAUGAGGCUGCCGACUACGUAGGAAGGAGUGGAGAUCGACAUGGUACUUAGUUUGGGGGGAAUGCAUUGAUGGCAAAGGGGAUUGUAAGGGCAACUCGAAACGGGAGUCAUCAAAUCGUCAAAUGUCUGAACAGGCGUGUUCAGGCAUUUUUUUGCCAUCCACCGGCAAUCAUCAAAUAUCUGUAAACUAGCUUGGACAUUUGAAAUCCCACAAAUAGCUCCCAAACUUAAGAGGAGGUUUGGGGGAGUCCGAACACGCUAACUCAGCCUCAGACCAACCACAAAACGCCCCGAACUUAUGGAAGGGUCGGGGGAGUCCGAACACACGAACUCAGCCUUGAAUCCAUCAUAAACUCAUUUUCCAUCUUUCUUUUCUGUGAUCUCUGCAUCGGACAAGGGACGGAUAUUUGUUGGAAGGCCGGCACCACCAUCACUGUCCGCAAACACAUCCGGACAUUCGAGGAGGUUCGUUUUGGUGACCUCCCUUGGAGAAAAAGUACGUUCCAAACAAUAUUCUACAUCUAGAACCGCCCCACUGUCAAAAACUGGUGCAAUAAUAAGAAUCAUAUCGCGGCUACGCGUCCUCCGAAUGCCGGCACGAAUUCGAAUCAAGAUCUAGGGUGAAAACGGGGAUAAGAUUCCACGAUCUCCACACUGACUAGUCGGCGCAUUAUCUCGCUCACACUUGGCCAAUAAAAAUGCACCCACCACCCCUGAAAUUCCAUCUAUCUACCAGUCAAGAAACAAAACCCUGGUUGCAUCGACCACCAGUCACAAGAAAUUCAGGAGCACUUGAGAUGAACCAAGAUUCGACAGCGAAAAAAAUAAACCGAAACGAUUUCACAUUAUUAUCAUUGCAAUUAUCAUCCAUGAACAAUAGAGGAAUCAACAACAUCUUCUGACCAAAAACAAGGCCAUGGUGUAAAUCCUCUCACAAAUCAUGUUGAAGGAAGAAUUAGAAUUAAAACAUAUUUGGGGACCUGGAACUAUAGCAUGCCCGGGUAACCAUUUAUACCCCGUCAGUACAUCAAGUAUCCAUGUCAUCACAACAAUAAACAAAAUAAACAGCAACCACCAAGGUAAAAAAAGAGGAAAGAAUUCUGGCAUGGCACAUGAGCCUUCUUCUUUUAAAAUUUAAUAUAACAGGGUUAAUUAACAGAAUAGACAACUAAAUCUUUUCUGGCUGAUGAGAUGAACUGAAGCUGCCGGGGUGCGAUUCUCUCUACCUCCGUUCGGCCCCAAACUGAGGUAGGUAACUCCACUCUUUAAUUUAACCUCCUACUGGAAAUGGAAACUCAAUAGUUGUGUAUUGAUUUACCUCCCAAAAAUUAACGAAAACCAAUCCCUGAAUCACCGCCUUCAGCUAUCCAUCCAUCCUUUUCGCUUGCUUGCUUGCUUGCUGACUGACCACCGCAAUGAACAGAAAAUCAAAAAAAUACUUGCAAUUCUUCUUUAGCUAACAAUGGUAACUUCUUCUCGCACCUCCCCCCCGGGCUCGUCUGGUUGUUCGUCUAUGUUGCUGCUAGACUACCAAUCUGCUCGUCAAGCUGCAUCUGCUCGAGCAGCGCUCCAAUAACCGCGGCUUGGUCAUGUCGGUUCAGCUGCGUGCUCACACUGGGGCCUUCACCAUUACUUACACCGGGAUGCAUUUGAGGUGAAGGUCUAACAGAGUUGUUGAUGGAUUCAGCUGUGGUCACUUGCUUCUCUGGUGGAGACUCCUUGACCAGUGUGUGCACCCAGGAGAGAUCUGGGUCGUCGCCGCCUGAUCUCAGCUCAAAGGAAGAUGACCGGCGAAGCUUACCCAAUUCUUCACCGUUGACGCCCCAAUCCGGUGCCCCUGAAGGAGAUCCCCACUUGGACCAUGAUGAGCUCAGAGGAGAGCCAACAGCAGCCGAUGCUCUUGCAGCACUGGGCCCGAGAUCGCGAGAACUGAGGCUCCUCAUUGUCUGCUGGUGCUGUUGGUGCUGCUGCUGCUGUUGCUUCUCACGCUGGGCAAGGGCGGCAGCUAGGUGGGAGUUCAUCGGUGACCCAGAUUCGACGCAGCGGGGGGACAUCCGGCCAGGGGAGGAUAUCCCAAGUGAUGCUUGCAGGAGGGAUGAGCGUGAAUGCAUCUGCUGGUUAUCCACAGCCUUUGGCGAGAACCCUGUGUUGAUUGGUGAAAGAAGUUGCUGCUGUUGCUGGAACUGGUUAAGGAUAGCAGCCUUCUGGGAAGGUGAAAACAUAGCACCCUGAUCAGCAUUGUUGUACCUCGGGGACGAGACCAUCUCGGCAGAGAAGAGAUCAUCCAGGUUUGAAGGGUUCAGACUCUUGGUCCGAGAACUGUGGUUCCCUCCUGCUGAUGAACCAAGACGCGAGUAGCACAGAUCGUUUAUAAGCUGGGAAUCAAUAUCCUGCAACAGGGAGUAGUCAUCCACAGGCAUAUCCCUUGCAUUGAGUGAGCUUCGGAGUCUGCUCGACUGAAGGCUGCUGCCCGGAAGGUGUAGCGUCGGAACAUUUGGCUGCUGCCAGCCCAGAGAAGGGGGCAUCCCAUUGCCAGAAGGAGACCUCGGUGGGGUAAAUGGGGACAUGACUACCGAGACCGAUGACGGAGAACCGGGCAUCAAGCCCAUUGCUGCUGCCAUCUCCAUUGCAGCUGUUGCUGAGGCCCUAGGGGAUGGCACCGCAGACCCAGUGGAGACAUACAGCGGGCGGAGCUCAUCGGUGGUGUGCGCAAAGAAACAGACGCGGCGAUUGCAGCCGGUGCCAUCCUUGCAAAGGCGAGUGCGGUAUUGCGCUGGGUGGAGCCAGCACUCAAACACCCCAUGAGCAUACUCACACAUGUCUCCACGCCGGCACACACCCUUUCUGAAGUCAGGGCAUGGAACACAACUGUAGUGAUACUUGCGCGGAUCGCGGCGCCGAGCGUUCUCCCCAGGGUGCACAAAGGGGCACUCGGUCCAGUCAUGCGAGUAUGCCCGGGAGCACGGCCUGAUCUUGAAGGAGUACAUGCGGAACUCAUCAGAGGCAUAGAUGCUGUUCUUGAUAUCCGGCAGGGAUGGAUCCACUGGGUAUUCCUUCUUCUCUGAGGUUGCAACCCUCGGCAGGUCUGGGAACUUUGACAUCAUCAUCACAGCAGCUGAUGGAGACCGGGCGUCCUCGGCGGUGGGUGAUGACACCGGCGACGAGGUCAGGUUUGUGGCCCUGGUCACCACCCGGAGCACGCCAUGCCCAGACUUUGGGAGCCCAAGCAGAUCUUGGAGGGCGAUCUUCGCAUCAAUCAUCUUUGGCGGCACAGAGAUCACAUCGGCCGGACGGCACCCGGACGCAUCUGCGGCAUCGGCGUCAGCCCCGGCCACCAGAAGCAGCCUGACGGCCUCGACGGCCGAGGACGAGCCGCCAGAGGCGGCGCAGUGGAGGGCGGUGGUGCCGUCGGGGCCGCAGCGGCGGUUGACGUCGACGGAGGGGACGGACAGCAGCAGGCGGAGCGCGGCGAGGCUGCCGUAGGUGGCGGCGACCAUGAGCGGGGUGCGCUGCUCGAGGGCCUUCCGGCGGCCGUACCAGAGGCCGGCCUCGUCCGCGGCGGCGGGGGGCGCGCGCUCCAGCGCGCGGCGCAGGCCGUCCGCGUCGUCGUCGGCGGCGAGCUCGAGGAGGCCGGCGAAGGCGUCGUCCGUGUCGACGGUGAGGUGCCUGGCCAUCUCGGCGACCGCAUUCUUCUUGGGCGUCGUCGCGGCGUCGGCGCCGGCCGCCGCGGGGAUCGGCGCGCCGUUCAUCUUCUUGGCUCGCCGGAUCGAAGCGACUGAACCAAAAAAACAUGAGUCAAGAAGCCAGUCAAGCGAGGUCCGAAAUAGCACGGCGAGAUGGACUGGAAACCUGCCGAAUCGGACGCGAAAUACAACGGGAAAGGGAGGAAAAACCGAGGCUACAAAAAUGGAAGCGCGGCGACCGAAUCCACGGAAAGAUCUCCGGGGAAGCAAAAACCAAUCUUUGGCUAGAUCAGGAGCCCGUCAAAGCUCGGGCCCUCGGCCGGAGCCGCCACCCGGCAGAUCGGAGCGAGGAGAGGGGGACGGAGCGGAGCCUGACCUGUGCACGGCGGCAGCUUGUGGCGCGGCGGACCAUGUCAGUAGCACGCCAUGGGCGACGUCGCCGGCGGAAAGAUCCCGGAAAUCUCCACGGAGAGCCGAAUCUGGGGAGAGCGGGAGGGCGUGGUGGUGGGUGGAAGCGGCCGGCCGGCGCGGUGUUCAGGGCAAAGAUUUGGGGGCGAUCUAUCUACUAUCCCCUAUCCGGUUCGCGAUUGAUGGGGGAAGAAGAAGCGGAAGCAUGGGGUGUGUGCGGGGAGGAGAGAGAGAGANNNNNNNNNNNNNNNNNNNNNNNNNNNNNNNNNNNNNNNNNNNNNNNNNNNNNNNNNNNNNNNNNNNNNNNNNNNNNNNNNNNNNNNNNNNNNNNNNNNNNNNNNNNNNNNNNNNNNNNNNNNNNNNNNNNNNNNNNNNNNNNNNNNNNNNNNNNNNNNNNNNNNNNNNNNNNNNNNNNNNNNNNNNNNNNNNNNNNNNNNNNNNNNNNNNNNNNNNNNNNNNNNNNNNNNNNNNNNNNNNNNNNNNNNNNNNNNNNNNNNNNNNNNNNNNNNNNNNNNNNNNNNNNNNNNNNNNNNNNNNNNNNNNNNNNNNNNNNNNNNNNNNNNNNNNNNNNNNNNNNNNNNNNNNNNNNNNNNNNNNNNNNNNNNNNNNNNNNNNNNNAAAUGGAUAAUUUGGUUGUGCUGCCUAGUGUUGAGUGUGUGCACAAGUAGUAGUUGCUUGGUUUAGCAAAAACACAUAUCAUGUCUUAGCUAAAACAUCAUUUGCUUUGUUUAUGAUUUGGUCUGUGUAGCUCUAUGCUAAGCUUAUUACUCAUUUUGAAAUAAGACUUUGGGAAACUCUGACAUAAGUACUCGGUAACAAUAACAUAAGGCAAUAUAUGGCGCGCCAGGCGUGGCCCUAUGCGGAAUUCUUUCCUUUAAUGUAGACUCGCCAAAAUGAUGUGUAUGCCUGCCUCCCACAAUUUGACAGCUCUAUAGUAUGUCGUGUGCCUGAAGGCGCAAAGCAAAACAAAACUUGCAAUAGCUUUCUCUGUGACAUGAUUACAGCAAGAAUCAUGCGACCGGCGCCAUCCCAGGCGACCCCCACGUUUCCAUAACCGGCGCCAUCCCACACGUACGGCACGGCAGCGCGAGUGCGGGCGGUGCGGUGCGGGGCGUCCCUGUCUGUCGCGUCGCGCCUUCCUUCUCGAAACUCACGUCGCCCCGCUUGUCGGCACCGCACCGUCUCGUCGGCUUGCGCUGCGCCGCGACGCCUUUUCCACCGGACGUCCACGUCCACGUCCGUGUCCCCUGUGACAAUGGGCGUGACGUCGCGCCAGGGGCGAGCGAGCGACUCGUUCGGUUGGUGCGUGGCGGCACCCGGGGACAAGGAGGAGCCGACCGAGCUCUCUUCCGGCCGCGGACCGGCGCGCCCGGCAGCCGGGGAAAAAAAUUAUAUGAGACCAGGUCUCAUGGUUAGUAGGUGAGACCCGUCCUGAUGGAUGAUACGUGGUUAGCAGGUGAGACCCGUCGUAUGGAAAAGCAUCUAAUCUCUUUUCCCCCUAUUUUAAAUGGGGGAAUGGGGGAUGCUUUGUGGUUUUGUGAAUGGUACGUGUCAACCAUCAGAAUGGGCCUCGCGUGAGACCUGGUCUCAUAGAAUUCUUUUCCGGCAGCCGGUGGCGAUGUUUCGAGCCACGGUGCCGGAGCAUGCAGCGGCAGUGGCGACUGACGGACCUGUUUCCAGCCAUUGUCGAGGGACCGUGAGGCCUUAUACAAUGCUAGGUGAUUAGAGAGAUGCUUAAAAAAAUAAACCAGGUUUUCUAAAGCAUCGGUGCCUAUUUCUACACGAGAGACGCCUAAUUAAGCGUCUACCCUGUGUAAAUAAGCACCGGUGCUUAAGAAAAGCCUGAUUUAUUUUUUCAAACGUCUUUUCUAAACACCUUUGCAUUGUACAAGGCCUAAGGCCAACUCCACCGCACAACCCCAAACAAACGUUCGAUUUGGCCGAAUUUUGUUUCUUUGUGGCAAUAAUGGAUUCGCCCAUGUCCGUGUCUGUUCGUUGGAUCGUGGGUGCGUCCAAGCGUGGCCGCACCCCAAAUCAUGUAUGUGUUGGACGUGAUUAAAAAACAGAAAAACUAAAAUAAAAUGAUUAAGAAAAGUAAAUAAACGCAGUUAAAAAAACUUAAAACAUAAGUUCGGGUUCACGGCCACAAAACGGCCCAGUUUCACGGUUCACAUUGCCAUAAUUAACAUAAAAAAUAAAAUAAGAACGGCCGCCGCCCGCGCGCUCCUGCCGUGCCUGUCAAUGCCGUCGCCGUUGCUGUCUUUAGUGGCCACCGGUGUCGUCAUCGUCGCUGACGAGGCCGAGCUACUUAGGCGGCGUCCAGAGGUGGGCCGGCGGAGCGUGGUGGACGGGGGUGGGCUGGAAGGCGGGAGGUGCCUGCACCACCUCCUCCCGUGGCGACGCGUCCCGCUCCGGUGACCGCGGCGGCGUGGGGCACCAGUUCGCGACCCCACGGCGUCGGCCAUCUCCGGAGCCAAGCACAACCAGCUCCAGUGCUGCCCAACCAGGGCCGGGUGGAACGCGGUCACCAACUCCUCCUCCGCCCUCGCCAUAUCCAGCACGGGGAUGGCGACGUCGCCGACCGCAGAUAGGGCCAUCGUCUCCUCGAGGCCCGGCCAUUGGCGCUCAUCGUGCGUGUUCAUGGAGUCCUCCGUGACACAUUGCAUGAGCCGGGCCUCCUCCUCCGCAGUCAUGCGAGGAGGUGAAGGUGGCGACGAAGAUGGGGACGGCGACGGCGUGGGCGUGAGGCCGCGCACCCGCGUACGCCCGCGCACCUCCCGAUGUGGCCGCCGCGGCCCCGACAUCGUGUCGUCGAAGUAGGAAGCGCGCCGCACGUCGUGCUCGUCCUGAAGCCACGUUUCCCAGAGCCCGGAGUCGGGGGCGUACCUUUCGUCGUAGUAGAGGUCGUCGGGGAGGAGACGGCGUCGGUGCGUGAUCUCAUCGUGGCGCGCACGCCCGCUCAUCGGUGCCGGCGGGAUUGGGACCCGGUCGGCGGAGAGGUGCCAGUUGUUGGGCAGGUGGACGUCGCUCCACAUGACCGGCGUCCGCGUCUCCCAAUAACGUCGGCAUACGUCCAUGCCCAGCUACUGCCGGUCGCGCUCGCCGGCGGCCCUAGGGGCGAUGCUGAACGGGGCAGGCGCGGGGGCCCUACGCGGCGGCGAAGCGACUUCCUCUUUCACGGAGCCGCGGCGGCACCCCGAGGAGGAGCUGGCCUCGCAGUCGUGCUUCCUUUUGCGGCCGUGGUUCCAGAACCCCAUGGCUGCGAGGCGGCCGGCCGACGAGCUCGAGGACGGGGAGAGGCUAGGAUUUUAGGGGUGACGGGUUUCGAGGAGGCAGCUGGCUGGAAGUGGAAGUGUAGACGACGACGACCGGUCCACGGCCUCCCCAUUUAAGAAGGACGAUGACUGUGCGCCUGGGCGGAUGACAGGUAGGGCCGAUCACGCAUGCGCAUUGAUGUGGGAGGGUGGGAGGUAGGUGGUCGUCUGUCACGCAGCCCCGUCGCGGACGAGCAUCGCGUCCGUUUGCUGUCCGCCGUGACCCAAACUGGACGCAUGUUUGCGCUCAAAAUGGGUCGGCGCGGACACAAAACGGAUCAGAUGGGUCCAGGCCGUCACGCGCUAGGCCGUCUGAUUUGUCCCUUUUACCCCAAACGGACGGGACCGAACGGGAUGGCGUCGCGCGGUGGAAUUGGCCUAAGAGCAUCUCCAGCCGCGCCCCAAGAAGGCCCCCCGGGCGAUUUUUCGGCCGCCGGCGAUGAAAAAUCGGCCCAUUCGUGCCCCCAAAGGCCCUUUUUUCGCCGGCUCGGGUCGAAAUUGACGCUGGCCGACCCAGGCCGAACCCGACGCGCUGGGGGACGCCAGCCGAAACAUUUUUGGCGCAAAAAUCGGUGGACCCUCCUUGGCAGCGACUCGGCUCUUCUCGCCGCUUCGUCGCCCUCAUCGCCUCGGUCCCCGUGGCGGAAUUGAUGCCAAAGCUGCCGAGCCGGUCAGCCUCCUCCAUUGAUGCCUCACAGGCGGCGCAGUGAAGACGGGACGACGCGUGUCCCUCGCCCGCCACGCGUACGCGCGGCGCAUACGCCUACGUAGGUGACUGGUUCGUUGGUGCGUGGCCGUGGCGGCACCCGAGGACAAGCAGGAGCCGACCGAGCUCUCUUCCGGCCGCGGACCGGCGCGCGCCCGGCAGUUGGUGGCGAGGUUUCGAGCCAUCGUCAAGGGACCGUAACGCCGUAGUCUUCUCCACCUACGCCGGUGCAAAUUGCACUCGUGCGGUCUCGACCACUCCGUGCGACAGACUCACAGCGCAGACGCGUUCGGGUUAGCUGCACAUCAGGGCAUCUCCAACGUUUUUUUAAACACAGUACAGACACAAGCGCUCGUAUACACGCACGCACACUCACCCCUAUGAACGCACAGGGCAUCUCCAACGUUGAACCAUCAAAACGCCCGUAAAUGCUUAGGUCGGGCUGUGCCGUCCGAGCAUUUUUACGAUUUUGACAUGGAUCACCGAAUCGUGUCAGACCGUUCGGACGUCCGAAAUCUUGUAACGUAAGUCGGGUCUACAUCAAGGGUGCUCUUUCGAAGAAGUCAUCGUCUCUUCAUAGGAUUUUGUUGGUCGAAGUAUCGGUGCACGCGCCUGUUUCGUCCGGCUUUAUAUCGGCAUCACUCUUCACAAGUCUAUUAUUUUGAAGACUGGUUUUUCUUCUUCGAAAAGCCGGUCUCCGCAUCAGGGUAAUGCAUAAAUUUAUUUUAUUAAUUAUUCGUCAAGACCUUAUAAAGUUGGGUGUGCCUAGGUCUAAGUCAAGUCUCAGCCAAAUGACAUAGUAUAUAAUAAUAAGAAGAAAAAUAAAAUAAACAAUUGUAUGAAUCUCCAUGCAAGAUCAAGGGGGAUAUAGCAUCGACUGAGACAUAACGAAGACUCGGUCGACCGAGACUUAACAAAACUGCACAAAGUAAUACAUCAAUAAGUCUAAAGCCAACCGGGGAGCAGUUGGGGGCUCCGGCGCAAGGGAAAAGCAUGGCUGGCCCACGCCGUCAGGGGAAAAGUCAAGGUCUUCUUCCCCGAUUCGCCUCCCACCCCCCGUGCCCUCGGCCACCACUAGCUAUAUCCCGGCGCCGCCCGCCGCCCUUCACCGCUAGAUAGCCAUUCCCCGUCGGAAAAAUAGCAGCGCUUCGCAGCGGCAGCCCCUCCAACAGCAGCUGGGCGUUUCCGACCGCCGUUCCCGACCGCGAAGGAGAAGUUUAACGGCGGGUACACACCUACCGGGUGCAAGGUGUUCGAUGAUUUGCCUGCCUCGGUGAUGGACUCGGAUGACGAGGAAGCGCUCACCGCGCUGCUGGAGGAGGAAGCCGAGGCAGACGUUGCUACCUCUUGAGCACUGCGUUGGAUUUCCCCGAAUAGGAGAGGAUGAUGCAGCAAAGUAGCGUAAGUAUUUUCCUCAGUUUCUGAGAACCAAGGUAUCAAUCUAGUAGGAGGCCACGCACAAGUCCCUCGUACCUACACAAAAACAAUAGCUCAGCGCAACCAACGCGCUUAGGGGUUGUCAAUCCUUUCACAGUCACUUACGAAAGUGAGAUCUGAUAGAGAUGAUAAAUAAUAUUUUUGGUAUUUUUGAUAUAGAGAUGCAAAGUAAAAAGUAAAAGCAAAGCAAUAAUAAAGUGAUGGAGAUUGAUAUAAUGAGAAAGAGACCCAGGGGCCAUAGAUUCCACUAGUGGCUUCUCUCAAGAGCAUAAAUAUUCUACGGUGGGUGAACAAAUUACUCUUGAGCAAUUGACAGAAUUGAGCAUAGUUAUGAGAAUAUCUAGGUAUGAUCAUGUAUAUAGGCAUCACGUCCGAGACAAGUAGACCGAAACGAUGCUGCAUCUACUACUAUUACUCCACUCAUCGACCGCUAUCCAGCAUGCAUCUAGAGUAUUAAGUUAAAAACAGAGUAACGCCUUAAGCAAGAUGACAUGAUGUAGAGGGAUAGUUUCAUGCAAUAUGAUAAAAACCCCAUCUUGUUAUCCUCGAUGGCAACGAUACAAUAUGUGCCUUGCUGCCCCUUCUGUCACUGGGAAAGGACACCGCAAGAUCGAACCCAAAGCUAAGCACUUCUCCCAUGGCAAGAACAACCAAUCUGGUAGGCCAAACCAAACUGAUAAUUCGAAGAGACUUGCAAAGAUAACCAAUCAUACAUAAAAGAAUUCAGAGAAGAUUCAAAUAUUAUUCAUAGAUAGACUUGAUCAGAAACCCACAAUUCAUCAGUCUCAACAAACACAAUGCAAAAUGAAGAUUACAUCGAAUAGAUCUCCACGAGAGAGGGGGAGAACAUUGUAUUGAGAUCCAAAAAGAGAGAAGUAGCCAUCUAGCCACUAGCUAUGGACCCGUAGGUCUGAAGUAAACUACUCACACUUCAUCGGAGAGGCUUGGAUGAUGAUGUAGAAGCCCUCUGUGAUCGAUGCCCCCUCCGGCGGAGCUCCGGAACAGGCCCCAAGAUGGGAUCUCGUGGAUACAGAAAGUUGCGGCGGUGGAAUUAGGUUUUUGGCUCCGUAUCUGAUCGUUUGGGGGUACGUGGAUAUAUAUAGGAGGAAGAAGUACGUCGGUGGAGCUUCGAGGGGCCCACGAGGCAGGGGGCGCGCCCUCCACCCUCGUGACCGCCUCGUGGCUUUCUUGACGGAGGGUCCAAGUCUCCUGGAUCUUAUCUGAUGAGAAAAUCACGUUUCCGAAGGUUUCAUUCCGUUUGGACUCCGUUUGAUAUUCCUUUUCUUCGAAACCCUAAAACAGGCAAAAAACAGCAAUUCUGGGCUGGGCCUCCGGUUAAUAGGUUAGUUCCAAAAAUAAUAUAAAAGUGGAUAAUAAAGCCCAAUAUAGUCCAAAACAGUAGAUAAAUAUAGCAUGGAGCAAUCAAAAAUUAUAGAUACGUUGAAGACGUAUCAAGCAUCCCCAAGCUUAAUUCCUGCUCGUCCUCGAGUAGGUAAAUCAUAAAAACAGAAUUUUUGAUGCGGAGUGCUACUUGGCAUAAUUUCAAUGUAAAUCUUCCUAAUUGUGGUAUGAAUAUUCAGAUUCAAAAGAUUCAAGACAAAAGUUCAUGUUGACAUAAAAAUAAUAAUACUUCAAGCAUACUAACAAAGCAAUUAUGUCUUCUCAAAAUAACAUGGCCAAAGAAAGCUAUCCCUACAAAAUCAUAUAGUCUGGCUAUGCUCUAUCUUCACCACACAAGGUAUUUAAAUCAUGCACAACCCCGAUGACAAGCCAAGCAAUUGUUUCAUACUUUUGACAUUUUCAAAACUUUUUCGAUCUUCACGCAAUACAUGAGCGUGAGCCAUAGAUAUAGCACUAUAUGUGGAAUAGAAUGGUGGUUGUGGAGAAGACAAAAAGGGAGAAGAUAGUCUCACAUCAACUAGGCGUAUCAACGGGCUAUGGAGAUGCCCAUCAAUAGAUAUCAAUGUGAGUGAGUAGGGAUUGCCAUGGAACGGAUGCACUAGAGCUAUAAGUACAUGAAAGCUCAACGAAAGAAACUAAAAUGGGUGUGCAUCCAACUCGCUUGCUCACGAAGACCUAGGGCAUUUUGAGGAAGCCCAUCAUUGGAAUAUACAAGACAAGUUCUAUAAUGAAAAAUCCCACUAGUAUAUGAAAGUGACAGAAUGAGAGACUCUCUAUAAUGAAGAUCAAGGUGCUACUUUGAAGCACAAGUGUGGUAAAAGGAUAGUAACAUUGUCCUUUCUCUCUUUUUCUCUCAUUUUUUUAUUUGGGCUUUCUCCUUUUUUUAUGGUCUCUUUUUUCGUCUAGAGUCUCAUCCCGACUUGUGGGGGCAUCAUAGUCUCCAUCAUCCUUUCCUCACUUGGGACAAUGCUCUAAAAAUAAUGAUCAUCACACUUUUUAUUUUUCUUACAACUCAACAAUUACAACUGGAUACUUAGAACAAGAUAUGACUCUAUAUGAAUGCCUCCGAGGGUGUACCGGGAUAUGCAAUGAAUCAAGAGUGACAUGUAUGAAAGAAUUAUGAACGGUGGCUUUGCCACAAAUACGAUGUCAACUACAUGAUCAUGCUAGCAAUAUGACAAUGAUGGACCGUGUCAUAAUGAACGGAACGGUGGAAAGUUGCAUGGCAAUAUAUCUCGAAAUGGCUAUGGAAAUGCCAUGAUAGAUAGGUAUGGUGGCUGUUUUGAGGAAGGUAUUUGGUGGGUGUAUGAUACCGGCGAAAAGUGCGCGGUAUUAGAGAGGCUAGGAAAGGUGGAAGGAAGGAAAGUGCGUAUAAUCCAUGGACUCAACAUUAGUCAUAAAGACCUCAUAUACUUAUUGCAAAAAUCUAGAAGUUAUCAAAGCAAAGUAUCACGCGCAUGCUCCUAGGGGGAUAGAUUGGUAGGAAAAUACCAUCGCUCGUCCCCGACCGCCACUCAUAAGGAAGACAAUCAAUAAAUAAAUCAUGCUCCGACUUCAUCACAUAACGGUUCACCAUACGUGCAUGCUACGGGAAUCACAAACUUUAACACAAGCAUUUCUCAAAUUCACAACUACUCAACUAGCAUGACUCUAAUAUCACCAUCCUCAUAUCUCAAAACAAUUAUCAAGCAUCAAUUUUUUCUUAGUAUUCAACGCACUCAAAAGAAAGUUUUACAAAUCUUGAAUACCAAGCAUAUUAUUAUUAAACAAAUUACCAUGCUAUUAAUACUCUCAAAAUAAUCUAAGUGAAGCAUGAGAGAUCAAUAGUUUCUAUAAAACAAAUCCACCACCGUGCUCUAAAAGAUAUAAGUGAAGCACUAGAGCAAAGUUAUAAAGCUCAAAAGAUAUAAGUGAAGCACAUAGAGUAUUCUAUCAAAUUCCAAAUUAUUUAUGGAUCUCUCAAAAGGUGUGUACAACAAGGAUGAUUUUUGUAAACUAAUAAGCAAAGACUCAAAUCAUAAAAGAUGCUCCAAGCAAAACACAUAUCAUGUGGUGAAUAAAAAUAUAGCUCCAAGUAAAGUUACCGAUAGAAGUAGACGAAAGAGGGGAUGCCUUCCGGGGCAUCCCCAAGCUUUGGCUUUUAGGUGUCCUUAGAUUAUCGUGUGGGUGCCAUGGGCAUCCACAAGCUUAGACUCUUUCCACUCCUUGUUCCAUAGUCCAUCCAAUCUUUACCCAAAACUUGAAAACUUCACAACACAAAACUUAAAGUAGAAACUCGUGAGCUCCGUUAGCGAAAGAAAACAAAAGACCACUUCAAGGUACUGUAAUGAACUCAUUAUUUAUUUAUAUGGGUGUUAUACCUACUGUAUUCCAACUUGUCUAUGGAUUAUAAACUAUUUUAGUAGCCAUAGAUUCAUCAAAAUAAGCAAACAACACACGAAAAACAGAAUCUGUCAAAAACAGAACUGUUUGUAGUAAUCUGUAGCUAGCGCAAGAUCUGGAACCCCAAAAAUUCUAAAAUAAAUUGAUGGACGUGAGGAAUUUAUAUAUUAAUAAUCUCCAAAAAUAAUUAACUAAAUAUCACUCUUAAAAUAAAAAUGACAGCAGUUCUCGUGAGCGCUAAAGUUUCUGUUUUUUACAGCAAGUUCAACAAGACUUUCCCCAAGUCUUCCCAACGGUUCUACUUGGCACAAACACUAAUUAAACACAAAAAACACAACCAAAGCAGAGGAUAAAUAAUUUAUUUAUUAAUAAACAGGAGCAAAAAGCAAGGAAUAAAAAUAAAAUUGGGUUGCAUCCCAAUAAGCGUUAUCGUUUAACGCCCCUAGCUAGGCAUAACAAGCAAGAAUAGAUCUAGGUAUUGCCAUCUUUGGUAGGCAAUCCAUAAGUGGCUCUCAUAAUAGAUUCAUAUGGUAAUUUUAUUUUCUUUCUAGGGAAGUGUUCCAUGCCCUUUUUUAAUGAAAAUUGGAAUCUAAUAUUCCCUUCCUUCAUAUCAAUAAUUGCACCAACCGUUCUAAGGAAAGGUCUACCGGGAAUAAUAAGGCAAGAAGGAUUGCAAUCUAUAUCAAGAACGGUAAAAUCUACGGGCACAUAAUUCCUAUUUGCAACAAUAAGAACAUCAUUAAUUCUUCCCAUAGGUUUCUUAAUAGUGGAAUCCGCAAGAUGCAAGUUUAGAGAGCAAUCAUCAAAAUCACGGAAAUCUAGCAAAUCGCACAAAGUUUUGGGAAUAGUAGAGACACUAGCACCCAAAUCACACAAAGCAUAAAACUCAUAAUUUUUAAUUUUAAUUUUAAUAGUAGGUUCCCACUCAUCAUAAAGUUUUCUAGGGAUAGAAACUUCCAAUUCAAGUUUUUCUUCAUAAGAUUGCAUCAAGGCAUCAGCGAUAUGUUUAGUAAACGCUUUAUUUUGACUAUAAGCAUGAGGAGAUUUUAGCACGGAUUGCAACAAGGAAAUACAAUCAAUCAAAGAGCAAUUUUCAUAGUUAAAUUCCUUGAAAUCCAUAAUAGUGGGUUUAGCAAUAUCUAGGGUUUUAAUUUCUUCAAUCCCACUUUUAUCGAAUUUAGCAUCAAGAUCAACAAAUUCCGAAUUCUUAGAACGCCUUCUAGGUAAAGGUGGAUCAUAUUCAGUCCCAUCAUUAUCAAGAUUCAUAUUGCAAAACAAAUAUUUAAUAGGGGACACAUCAAUAACUUUUAGAUCUUCAUCAUUAUUUUCAUAGGAACUAGAAGAACACGCUUUUACAAAAGCAUCUUUCUUAGCACGCAUCCUAGCGGUUCUUUCUUUGCACCCGUCAAUGGAAAUUCUCAUGGCUUUGAGAGACUUAUUGAUAUCAUGCUUAGGUGGAAUAGAUCUAAGUUUCAAAGAAUCAACAUCAAGAGCAAUUCUAUCACCGUUCCUAGCCAAAUCAUCAAUCUUAAGCAAUUUUUCUUCAAUCAUAGCAUUAAAAUUCUUUUGCAAAGAAAUAAAUUAUUUAAUAUUAGAUUCAAAAUCAGACUGCAUCUUAUUAUAAUUUCCAUAAGAAUUGUUGUAGGAAUUACCAUAAUUAUUAGAGGGAUUACUAGGAUAAGGCCUAGGAUUGAAAUUUUCUCCAUACGCGUUGUUACCAAAAUUGUUCCUACCAACAAAAUUCACAUCCAUAGAUUUAUUAUUAUUCUCAAUAAAAGUAGACAAGGGCAUAUCAUUAGGAUCAGAAGAAACACUCCUAUUGGCAAAUAAUUUCAUAAGUUCAUCCAUCUUUCCACUCAAAACAUUAAUUUCUUCUAUCGCAUGCACCUUUUUAUUAGAUCUUUCAGUAUGCCAUUGAGAAUAAUUAACCAUAAUAUUAUCUAGGAUUUUAGUAGCUUCUCCUAAAGUGAUUUCCAUAAAAGUGCCUCCCGCGGCCGAAUCUAAAAGAUUUCUAGAAGCAAAAUUCAAUCCGGCAUAAAAAAUUUGUAUAAUCAUCCACAAAUUCAAACCAUGAGUAGGGCAAUUACGUAUCAUUAAUUUCAUUCUCUCCCAAGCUUGUGCAACAUGUUCAUGAUCAAGUUGUUUAAAAUUCAUAAUAUCAUUUCUAAGAGAGAUGAUCUUAGCGGGAGGAAAAUACUUAGAGAUAAAAGCAUCUUUGCACUUGUUCCAUGAAUCAAUACUAUUUUUAGGCAAAGAUGAAAACCAAGCUUUAGCACGAUCUCUAAGCAAAAAAGGAAAUAACUUCAAUUUAACAAUAUCAUUAUCGACAUCUUUCUUCUUUUGCAUGUCACACAAAUCAACGAAGCUAUUAAGAUGGGUAGCGGCAUCUUCACUAGGAAGGCCGGAGAACAGAUCUUUCAUGACAAGAUUCAACAAAGCAGUAUUAAUUUCACAAGAUUCAGCAUCGGUAAGAGGAGCAAUCAGAGUGCUAAGGAAAUCAUUAUUGUUGGUAUUGGUGAAGUCACACAAUUUAGUAUUAUCUUGAGCCAUCGCGACAAACAAGCAAUCCAACACACGAGCAAACAAAAAGCAAACGGGCAAAAGAGGCAAAUAGAGAGGGAGGAUAGAGAGAGAGGGGGCAAAUAAAAUGGCAAGGGUGAAUUGGGGGGAAAGGAAAACGAGAGGCAAAUGGCAAAUAAUGUAAUGCGGGAGAUAGGGAUUGUGAUGGGUACUUGGUAUGUUGACUUUUGCGCAGACUCCCCGACAACGGCGCCAGAAAUUCUUCUUGCUACCUCUUGAGCACUGCGUUGGAUUUCCCCGAAGAGGAGAGGAUGAUGCAUCAAAGUAGUGUAAGUAUUUCCCUCAGUUUUUUAGAACCAAGGUACCAAUCCAGUAGGAGGCCACGCACAAGUCUCUCAUACCUACACAAAAACAAUAGCUCAACACAACCAACGCGCUUAGGGGUUGUCAAUCCCUUCACAGUCACUUACGAAAGUGAGAUCUGAUAGAGAUGAUAAAUAAUAUUUUUGGUAUUUUUGGUAUAGAGAUGCAAAGUAAAAAGUAAAAGCAAAGAAAUAAUAAAGUGAUGGAGAUUGAUAUAAUGAGAAAGAGACCCGGGGGCCAUAGGUUUCACUAGUGGCUUCUCUCAAGAGCAUAAAUAUUCUACGGUGGGUGAACAAAUUACUGUUGAGCAAUUGACAGAAUUGAGCAUAGUUAUGAGAAUAUCUAGGUAUGAUUAUGUAUAUAGGCAUCACGUCCGAGACAAGUAGACCGAAACGAUUCUGCAUCUACUACUAUUACUCCACUCAUCGACCGCUAUCCAGCACACAUCUAGAGUAUUAAGUUAAAAACAGAGUAACGCCUUAAGUAAGAUGACAUGAUGUAGAGGGAUAGUUUCAUGCAAUAUGAUAAAACCCCAUCUUGUUAUCCUCGAUGGCAACGAUACAAUACGUGCCUUGCUGCCCCUUCUGUCACUGGGAAAGGACACCGCAAGAUCGAACCCAAAGCUAAGCACUUCUCUCAUGCCAAGAACAACCAAUCUAGUAGGCCAAACCAAACUGAUAAUUCGAAGAGACUUGCAAAGAUAACCAAUCAUACAUAAAAGAAUUCAGAGAAGAUUCAAAUAUUAUUCAUAGAUAGACUUGAUCAUAAACACACAAUUCAUUGGUCUCAACAAACACACCGCAAAAAGAAGAUUACAUCGAAUAGAUCUCCACGAGAGAGGGGGAGAACAUUGUAUUGAGAUCCAAAAAGAGAGAAGAAGCCAUCUAGCCACUAGCUAUGGACCCGUUGGUCUGAAGUAAACUACUCACACUUCAUCGGAGAGGCUUGGAAGAUGAUGUAGAAGCCCUCCGUGAUCAAUGCCCCCUCCGGCGGAGCUCCGGAAUAGGCCCCAAGAUGGGAUCUCGUGGAUACAGAAAGUUGCGGUGGUGGAAUUAGGUUUUUGGCUCCAUAUCUGAUCGUUUGGGGGUACGUGGAUAUAUAUAGGAGGAAGAAGUACGUCGGUGGAGCUUCGAGGGGCCACGAGGCAGGGGGCGCGCCCUAGGGGGGAGCCCUCCACCCUCGUGACCGCCUCGUGGCUUUCUUGAUGGAGGGUCCAAGUCUCCUGGAUCUUAUCUGAUGAGAAAAUCACGUUUCCAGAGGUUUCAUUCCGUUUGGAAUCCGUUUGAUAUUCCUUUUUCUUCGAAACCCUAAAACAGGCAAAAAAUAGCAAUUCUGGAUUGGGCCUCCGGUUAAUAGGUUAGUUCCAAAAAUAAUAUAAAAGUGGAUAAUAAAGCUCAAUAUAGUCCAAAACAGUAGAUAAUAUAGCAUGGAGCAAUAAAAAAUUAUAGAUACGUUGGAGACGUAUUAGACGUCCAGGAAGAAGAGCAUCUGAUGGUGCUCGCCGCCCUCGCCCAGCUGCUGGCGAGCAAUGAAAAGCCGCGGCAAGGUGGCUCGGCGCCUGGGCUGGUGAAAGCAAAGAACCGGCAUCGUCUCGAAGGCUACUACAUGCUCUACUCCGACUACUUCGCCGAUGCUCCACUUCACGGCGAGAAAACAUUUCGGCGCCGUUAUCGGAUGAGCCGAAAGCUCUUCCUCAGGAUUGUGAAUUCCAUCCGGGAGUUCGAUAACUACUUCAAGUGCAAGAUGGAUUGCACCGGCGCUCUUGGAUUCACCUCCAUCCAGAAGUGCACGACAGCGAUGAGGAUGCUUGCAUAUGGAGCUCCCGGUGAUUCACUCGAUGACUAUGGGCGCAUGGCCGAGUCCACCAGCAUAGAGUGUUUCUACAAGUUCUGUCGGGCAGUGGUGGCAGUGUUUGGACCACAAUACUUGAGAACACCCAAUGCGGAAGACACUGCUCGGAUCCUAGCACAAAAUGCAGCAAGAGGACUUCCUGGGAUGCUUGGAAGCAUCGACUGCAUGCAUUGGAAAUGGAAGAAUUGCCCAUUUGCUUGGCAGCGGAUGUACAAAGGCGCCAAAGGUGGUUGCAGUGUCGUGCUUGAGGCGGUGGCUGCACAGGACCUUUGGAUUUGGCACUCCUUCUUUGGUAUGCCAGGAACUCACAAUGACAUCAACGUGCUACAGUGCUCUCCUGUCUUUGCCAAGCUUGUUGAAGGUCAUUCUCCUCCGGUGAACUUCGAGAUCAAUGGGCAGCACUACAACAAGGGGUACUAUCUAGCUGAUGGCAUCUAUCCGAGAUGGUUGACAUUUGUGAAGACCAUCUCAAAUCUUGUGCCAGGAGGCAAGAACGCCUGGUUUGCGAAGAUUCAGGAGGCGCGCAGGAAGGAUGUCGAGCGGGCAUUUGGUGUGCUCCAAUCUCGAUUUGCUGUUGUCCGGUACCCCGCUCAGACGUGGUCCAAAGAUCAAAUGUGGGAGAUUAUGACUUGCUGUGUCAUCUUGCUCAACAUGAUCAUCGAGAGCGAGCAAGAAGACCCAGUGUUUGACACUGAACCAUACUACUGUUGGGGAACAUAGUAAUUUCAAAAAAAUUCCUACGCACACGCAAGAUCAUGGUGAUGCAUAGGAACGAGAGGGUAGAGUGUUGUCUACGUACCCUCGUAGACCGGAAGCGGAAGCAUUAGCACAACACGGUUGAUGUAGUCAUACGUCUUCACGGCCCGACCGAUCAAGCACCGAAACUAUGGCACCUCCGAGUUCUAGCACACGUUCAGCUCGAUGACGAUCCUCGGACUCCGAUCCAGCAAAGUGUCGGGGAAGAGUUCCGUCAGCAUGAAGGCGUGGUGACGAUCUUGAUGUUCUAUCGUCGCAGGGCUUCGCCUAAGCACCGCUACAAUAUUAUCGAGGAUUAUGGUGGAGGAGGGCACCGCACACGGCUAAUAGAUCUCAAUGAUCAAUUGUUGUGUCUUUGGGGUGCCCCCUGGCCACGUAUAUAAAGGAGUGGAGGAGGGGGGAGAGGGCCGGCCCCUAUGGCGCGCCUUGGAGGAGUCCUACUCCCACCGGGAGUAGGAUUCCCCCCUUUCCAAGUAGUAGGAGUAGGAGUCAAGGCAAGGGAAGAGAGAAGAGAAGGAAGGAGGGGGCGCAACCCCUCCCCCUAGUCCAAUUCGGACUAGGCCUUGGGGGGCGCCCAACCUCUCCUCUCUCUUUCCCCUAAAGCCCAAUAAGGCCCAUAUACUCCCCGGCGAAUUCCCGUAACUCUCCGGUACUCCAAAAAAUAUCCGAAUCACUCGGAACCUUUCCGAUGUCUGAAUAUAGUCGUUCAAUAUAUCGAUCUUUACGUCUCGACCAUUUCGAGACUCCUCGUCAUGUCCCCGAUCUCAUCCGGGACUCCGAACUCCUUCGGUACAUCAAAACUCAUAAACUCAUAAUAUAACUGUCAUCGAAACCUUAAGCAUGCGGACCCUACGGGUUCGAGAACAAUGUAGACAUGACCGAGACACGUCUCCGGUCAAUAACCAAUAGCGGAACCUGGAUGCUUAUAUUGGCUCCCACAUAUUCUACGAAGAUCUUUAUCGGUCAGACCGCAUAACAACAUGCGUUGUUCCCUUUGUCAUCGGUAUGUUACUUGCCCGAGAUUCGAUCGUCGGUAUCUCAAUACCUAGUUCAAUCUCGUUACCGGCAAGUCUCUUUACUCGUUCCGUAAUACAUCAUCCUGCAACUAACUCAUUAGUUGCAAUGCUUGCAAGGCUUAAGUGAUGUGCAUUACCGAGAGGGCCCAGAGAUACCUCUCCGACAAUCGGAGUGACAAAUCCUAAUCUCGAAAUAUGCCAACCCAACAAGUACCUUCGGAGACACCUGUAGAGCACCUUUAUAAUCACCCAGUUACGUUGUGACGUUUGGUGGCACACAAAGUGUUCCUCCGGUAAAUGGGAGUUGCAUAAUCUCAUAGUCAUAGGAACAUGUAUAAGUCAUGAAGAAAGCAAUAGCAACAAACUAAACGAUCAAGUGCUAUGCUAACAGAAUGGGUCAAGUCAAUCACAUCAUUCUCCUAAUGAUGUGAUCCCGUUAAUCAAAUGACAACUCAUGUCUAUGGUUAGGAAACAUAACCAUCUUUGAUAAACGAGCUAGUCAAGUAGAGGCAUACUAGUGACACUCUGUUUGUCUAUGUAUUCACACAUGUAUUAUGUUUCCGGUUAAUACAAUUCUAGCAUGAAUAAUAAACAUUUAUCAUGAUAUAAGGAAAUAAAUAAUAACUUUAUUAUUGCCUCUAGGGCAUAUUUCCUUCAACUACAGGCAGGGUCCUCUAACCGAAGUUGAUCACCAGCUACCGGCAACUUGGACUGCCUAUCUCAGUAUGCGUCAGGAGAUCCGAGACCCACAGGUGCAUCAUCAACUGCAGAAAGAUCUGAUUGAGCACCUAUGGAGGCUCAAGGGGGACGCCGUGUGAUGAAAUACGAGUUUUUAUUUGUUGAACUAUAUAAUUUUUAUUGAACUAUUUGUUGUUGUACUAUUUUGUUGAAGUAUUUGAUUUUUCUAUGAUGAAAUAUGUGGCAAGAAAAAAUUGUGUUGAUAAUUGAACGCCGAGACACGGUGAACCACGCCGAAUAUGGGUCUAUUCUCGCCCAUAUGGGCCCUUCAUUCGUCGAAAUGGGGCUGCAAAGUGGGCCAAUUUCGGCGCCUGGGGGCGAGCUGGGGGCGAUGACUGGGCGCAAAACCGCCCCCAGCGCCGAUUGUAUCGCCGGCUCGCCCCCAGGGGGCGAUUUUUAUGCGUCCUGGGGGGGUCAACGGCUGGAGAUGCUCUAACGGUUGCGCAAGUCCAUGGAGGGCUCCACCCACGAAGGGUCCACGAAGAAGCAACCUUGUCUAUCCCUCCAUGACCAUCGCCCACGAAGGACUUGCCUCACUAGGGUAGAUCUUCACGAAGUAGGCGAUCUUCUUACCCGUACAAACUCCUUGGUUCAACUCCACAAUCUUGUCGGAGGCUCCCAAGUGACAGCUAACCAAUCUAGGAGACACCACUCUCCAAAAGGUAAUAGACAGUGUGUUGAUGAUGAACUCCUUGCUCUUGUGCUUCAAAUGAUAGUCUCCCCAACACUCAACUCUUUCUCACUGAUUUGGAUUUGGUGGAAAGAAGAUUUGAGUGGAAAGCAACUUGGAGAAGGCUAGAGAUCAAGAUUCAUAUGGUUGGAAUGGAAUAUCUUGGUCUCAACACAUGAGUAGGUGGUUCUCUCUCAGAAAAUGAAUGUUAGAAGUGUAGGCAUGUUCUGAUAGCUCUCUCCAUGAAUGAAGAGUGGGUGAAGGGGUAUAUAUAGCCUCCACAUAAAAUCUAACCAUUACACACAAAUCACCAAACUUGGUGGGACCGAAUAAUGAAACUCGGUCAGACCGAUUUAGUUCAAAAUGUGAACAUUAGGCUUUUCGUUGGGACCGACAUGUCAACUCGGUGUGACCGAUUUCAUUAGAGUUAGGGCAUAAUGUAAUCUCGAUGAGACCGAUUACACAAACUCGGUGGGACCAAUUUUGGUAAUAAGCUAACCAGAGAGUUGGUCAGGCAAACUCGGUGGGACUGAUUCGCUCAUCUCGGUGAGAUCGAAACGUUAAGAAGGGGAAACAGAGAGUUUGCAUUGCGAACUCGGUGGGACCGAUCGCUCAUCUCGGCGAAAUGUUAUGAAGGGAAACAUUGAGUUUGCAAUCCCAUCUCGGUGAGACCAAGAUCCCUAUCGGUAAGACCGAAGUGACUAGGGUUUGUGGCAGUGGCUAUGUCAAAUGAACUUGGUGCGUCGGAUAGAACAUUUCGGUGGGGACGAGUUUGACUUUUGGUUUGGGACAUAUGUGGAUAUGAGAAAGUGGUUGAGGGCUUUGGAGCAUAUCACUAAGCAUUUUGAGCAAGCAAGCCAUUAAGCAACACCUCAUCCCUUUUAAUAGUAUUGACUUUUCCUAUGGACUCAAUGUGAUCUUGGAUCACUAAAAUGAAAAUGUAGAGUCUUGAGCUUGAGCCAAUGUGUGUUCUUAGCAUUUUGAGGGGUCCACAUUCCUAAUCCAUGCCAUGCCAAUCAUUGAACUUUCUGAAAUGAUCAUCUUGAAAUAGCAUUAGUUCAAUGAGCUAUAUGUUGUUAGUAAUUACCAAAACCACCUAGGGAUAGUUGCACUUUCAAUCUCCCCUUUUUGGUAAUUGAUGACAACAUAUAGAUUAAAGCUUCGAUAAAUGAUAAUAAGAUUUAAAGUACAUCGUCGCUUUGAGAAGUAUGUGAUAAGCAAGAGCUCCCCCUAAAUUUGUGCAUUAUUUAAAAUUUGCUUUUGAAUGCAAAUGCACAAUCGGUUAGGAUUAUGGGUUACUCUUCCAUGUCACAUACAUCUUGGUGGAGCGCUCAAAAUGAUAGGAAUUAAAACAUGCACUCAUCACCAAGCAAAGUGAAUGAUCAUAUAGGGAUAUAAGAGAUAAUAUCAUCCAGGCAAGCAUUAAAAUAGCAUAUGAUCAAACAAGUAUCUCACACAAACAUAGAGUAUCAACCAAGCACACAAUAAAGUUCAACCAAAAUCAAGAGAGACAAAGAAGCAAAAACACACUCUCUCUCGAAGCCUAUGAUCUAUACAUUUCUCCCCCUUUGGCAACAAGUUACCAAAAAGUUCAAAAAUGCAUAGUGCUAUGCAUCUCUCAGGCUUGGUCUUCGAGAGGUGGUGUAGAGAGAACUCCAAGGACGAAGGCAUCUGUUGAUGUAGUUGGAGCUGGUGGAGUGGGUUGCACUUUCAAUACCUACACGGGUUAGUCCCACAAAGAACAAACAAGGAUAUCCAUAGACAUAGAGUGAUGAUCACAUAAGAUGAUGUCCAUGAAAGCAUUAGGUUACCUUGUCCCUUGUCUUACCAACAAGAGGGUUUGUGACUCCUAGAACUAGUGCAAGAUGUGGAAGUUGUUUGCACAUGUCCUUGCCAAAAGAUAUGAGUGAAGUAUGUUGGCGUAGUCACCCUCAAGAACUCUCUAGUUCUUCUUCUUCGGGAUCCACAUCAUCUUGAUGGGAAUCCUUGGAGUUGUAGUUGUACUUGAUGUGGUAGAACUUGAUGUAGUCUUGGGAACCCACUUGACCAAGGCCUCGGGAGCUUCUUCAAAUGCAUCAAUCUCCUCUUGAAGCUUGUCCUUCCCUUUUAGCUUGUGGUCUUGUGGUGGAAGAUCAUCUUGAGCUUGUGUCCCUUGGAAUGAAGUAGGAUCAUACUUCUCUUGUUGAGGAACAAACUUCGUCUUGGGGUAUUGAUCUUCUUCCCACUCAACUUCAUUGGCAUUGAACUUCCAUUCAAAACCAACACCUUGAUUCUUCUGGUGUCUUCCUUGCUUGCGUACAAUUUCCUCAAAUUGCUUACUUCCGACAAGGCUCUUGUAAACACCUUUCUCUAUAAUUCCAUUUAAUAAGCUAUUUCCUUGCUCAAGUGUAAAUUGGCUAAGAGAAUCAUUAGUGGAAUCAAGAGAACUACUAGAAGCAACAAUAUUGGAUUUAACAUGAUUUUUGUUACUACCAGAAGAAGAACCUUUCUUACUCUUAUUGCUAGAUUUAACUUGUGGCAUGUAAGUAUACAAGAGUAAACGCUUGGCAAUGUAAGAAGAACUUUUCUUGCGAAGAUCAUCAUUGAUUGCCUUUAAGAACUCAUGCUCUUGCUCAAGGUUGAGCUUUUCAAAGCGUAAUUUCUCACGAGUCUUUAAAAGUUCUCGAUGAUCUUCCAAGGUAGUUUCAUGAGCUAACUUAAGAGUGUUUAGUUCUUUAGUCAGACGCUCAAUCUCCUUCUUAUAAUCGUCAUUUGUUUUAUAUUGAUUAUCAUGAUUAAUAGUAAGUUCAUCAUAGUUUUCAUAACUAUAGUUGUCAACAAGUAAAUCAUCAUCUUCUAGCAAAUCAUCUUCAUCACUAUUGAAAUCAACAUACUCGGGGUGUGAUACCUUUGGGCCUUUAGCCAUGAAGCAUAUUCCAAUUCCUUCAUUUGGUGAGUCAAAUAUGUCGUAGGAGUUGGUUGACACAAGUGCUAGAUCGGCAACACCUUCAUCUUGAGUUUAUUCGGAGUCGGAGUGAUAACUUCUCUCGGAGUGAUUGUCGGAGUCGGAGCCGGAUACCCAUUCACCAACAUGAGCUUGAUGUCUUCAUUUUGUGUAGCUCCUUGAUGAUUUGUCCUUCCUUCCUGAAUCAUUGCUUCUCCGUGAUGUUCUUCGUUCAUAAAGGUCAUCUCUACUCCUUCUCUCUCUAGGUGGUGAUUCUUCUCUUCUACUUCUCCUUUUGGGUGAAUCUUCUCUUCUUUUGUAGGGAGCCAUACACUCAUUGGAGUAGUGUCUGGGUCUUCCACAAUUGUAGCAAUUUCGUUCAUGACUUGAAGAUCUUUUUUCAUUGUAGGACCUUGACUUGGAACUUCUCUCCUUGCUUAUACUCUUGUAGAACUUGUUGAAGUUCUUCACCAUUAGGCUCAAUUCUUCAUUGAAGGUUUGUUUCUCACUUGAUGAUGUGGGAGCAUCACAUGAGGCUUUGUAAGCACCACUUGACUUGUUGUGAAGCUCUUCCUUAUCCUCGAGUGACAUCUCAUGAGCAACAAUUCUUCCAAUGACUUCUGUUGGCUUGAGAUCUUCGUAAUUGGGCAUCAUUUGAAUCAAUGUACACACGGUAUUAUAUUUUCCAUCCAAGGCUCUUAGGAUAUUCUUGAUGAUGAAUCUGUCGGUCAUCUCUUCACUUCCUAAGCCGCCAAUCUCAUUUGUGAUGAGAGCAAGCCUAGAGUACAUUCCAGCGACACCUUCACCAUCCUUCAUUUUGAACCUGUCAAGUUGACUUUGAAGCACAUCCAAUUUGGAUUCCUUGACGGAGUUGGUACCUUCGUCAUAUCAAUCAAAGUAUCCCAAAUUUCCUUUGCAUUCUCAAGACAGCUGAUUUUGUUGAAUUCUUUGGGGCACAAUCCGUUGAAGAGGAUAUCACAAGCCUGAGCAUUGUAUUGCAGCAUCUUCAACUCUUCCGCGGUAGCUUCACGGUUUGGUUCUCUCCCAUCAAAUAAUUUACCUUGCAAGCCAAUACACACAAUAGCCCAAACGGAGGGGUUAUGUCCAAGAAUAUGCAUUUUCAUCUUAUGCUUCCAACUAGCAAAAUUAGUACCAUCAAAGUAAGGACCUCUACGGUGGUAAUUUCCCUCACUAGACGCCAUACUCUCCUAGGUUGUGAAACCAAGGUUGUGAUCACCAAACGCUAUGGAAAUCAAGGCAAAUGGAGACCAAAGCUCUAAUACCACAUGUAGGAUCGAAAGUAUGUCUAGAGGGGGGGGGGUGAUUAGACUACUUGACCAAAUAAAAAUCUAGCCUUUUCCCAAUUUUAAGUCUUGGCGGAUUUUAGCAACUUAGCACUAGUCAAGCAAUCAACCUACACAUGCAAGUCUAAGAGUAUAUCAGCAGAAUGUAAAACAUUGCACAUCAAGGUAAAGGGAGGAGUUUGGAGGGAGCAAACGCAAUGUAGACACGGAGAUUUUUGGCGUGGUUCCGAUAGGUGGUGCUAUCGUACAUCCACGUUGGUGGAGACUUCAACCCAUGAAGGGUAACGGUUGCGCGAGUCCACGGAGGGCUCCACCCAUGAAGGGUCCACGAAGAAGUGAUACGUCUCCGUCGUAUCUACUUUUCCAAACACUUUUUCCCUUGUUUUGGACUCUAACUUGCAUGAUUUGAAUGGAACUAACCCGGACUGACGCUGUUUUCAGCAGAAUUGCCAUGGUGUUAUUUUUGUGCAGAAAUAAAAGUUCUCGGAAUGACCUGAAAAUCAACGGAGAUUAUUUUUGGAAUAUAUAAAAAAUACCGGUGAAAGAAUUAACGUCAGGGGGCCCACACCCUUUCCAUGAGGGUGGGGGGCACGCCUACCCCCCUGGGCGUACCCCUUGCCUCGUGGGCCCCCUGAUGCUCCUCCGACCUCAACUCCAACUCUAUAUAUUCGUGUUCGGGGAGAAAAAAUAUCAGACAGAAGGAUUCAUCGCGUUUUACGAUACGGAGCCGCCGCCAAGCCCUAAACUCUCUCGGGAGGGCUGAUCUAGAGUCCGUUCGGGGCUCCGGAGAGGGGAAUCCGUCGCCAUUGUCAUCAUCAACCUUCCUCCAUCACCAAUUUCAUGAUGCUCACCGCCGUGCGUGAGUAAUUCAAUCGUAGGUUUGCUGGACAGUGAUGGGUUGGAUGAGAUUUAUCAUGUAAUCGAGUUAGUUUUGUUAGGGUUUGAUCCCUAGUAUCCACUAUGUUCUGAGAUUGAUGUUGCUAUGACUUUGCUAUGCUCAAUGCUUGUCACUAGGGCCCGAGUGCCAUGAUUUCAGAUCUGAAUCUAUUAUGUUUUCAUGAAUAUAUGUGUGUUCUUGAUCCUAUCUUGCAAGUCUAUAGUCACCUAUUAUGUGUUAUGAUCCGUUUACCCCGAAGUGACAAUAAUCGGGAUACUUACCGAUGAUGACCUAGUUUGAGGAGUUCAUGUAUUCAUUAUGUGUUAAUGCUUUGGUUCGGUACUCUAUUAAAAGAGGCCUUAAUAUCCCUUAGUUUCCAAUAGGACCCCGCUGCCACGGGAGGGUAGGACAACUUGCUAGGGUUAGAGAGAAUGAAAUUAUUGAAACUGAUAAUAUUGAUGAAAAUGAUGAUGAAGAUUCUCCCCCUAGAUAUGAAUUGUCUAUUGUGCCUGAGGGUUAUGUUAUGGAUGAAGAAAUUGCUAGAGACUUCUUAGCUUAAAAUGAUAGAUCUGAUCUUAAGAAAUUAUUAGCUAAGCUUAAAGAAAACUCUUUGAAUGCUAGAAUGAAAUAUGACCCUGCUUUUACUACUUCACCUAUCUUUAUUAUCAAUAAGGAUCAUGAUUUCUCUGUCGAUCUGAGUUAAUUACUUUGGUUGAAUCUGAUCCUAUUUAUGGCUAUGAAUCUAAAACUAUCGUGGCACAUCUUACUAAAUUAAAUGAUAUAGCCACCCUGUUUACUCAUGAUGAGAAAGCUCGCUAUUACUUUAUCCUUAAGUUGUUUCCGUUCUCAUUAAAGGGUGAUGCUAAAACAUGGUUUAAUUCUCUUAAUCUUGGUUGUGUGCGUAGUCCCCAGGAUAUGAUUUAUUACUUCUCUGCUAAAUAUUCCCCCGCUCAUAAGAAACAACCUGCUUUAAGGGAAAUAUAUAAAUUUGUGCAAAUUGAAGAAGAGAGUCUCCCACAAUCUUGGGGGAGGCUUCCCGAUUACUUAAUGAUUUGCCUGAUCAUCCUCUCAAGAAAACUGAAAUAGUUGAUAUCUUUUAUAAUGGACUAACCAAUGCUUUCAGAGACCACCUGGAUAGUUGUGCUGGUUGUGUUUUCAAGGAAAGAUCUGUUGAUCAAGCUGAAUUGCUAUUGAAUAAUAUGUUGAGUAAUGAAAAUUAUUGGACACUUCCUGAACCACCUCCUAAGCCAACUCCAAAGAAAAGAGGCAUUCUAUUUCUCAGUCUUGAAGAUAUGCAAGAGGCAAAGAAAUCUAUGAAAGAAAAAGGUAUUAAAGCUGAAGAUGUUAAGAAUUUACCACCUAUUUAAGAAAUACAUGGUUUUGAUAACCCGACACAGGUAGUAAACGUAAAUUCUAUCUAUAGAUUUGAUGAAGGUGAUAUUCCUCGUUAUAAGUCUGCUAGCCUAUGCUUAGAUGAGUUUGAUAAUUUUAUGGUUAAACAAGAAGACUUCAAUGCUUAUGUUGGUAGACAAUUAAAACGCAAUGCUGAUAUGAUUGAACACUUGAGUGAUUAUAUGGCUAGUGUUAAGGGUGAACUUAAUCUUAUUAGUAAACAUGCUUCUAUGGUUACCACUCAAGUAGAACAAGUACUUAAAGCUCAGAAUGAUUUUCUCAAUGAACUAAAUAGUAAGAAUGAUGUCGUGGUGGGCGCACGGCAGAUGCCAAGGGAUGGCUAAGGAGAGGAGGAGGCUCAAGGGCGCUGGUGGACUCCAGAGGCGGGGUUGGCAUGAGCGGGCGCGGGAUGCCGGACAUACCCAGGUUCGAGGCUCUUCGGAGAGAUAAUACCCCUAGUCCUGCCGAGUGUAGUUGGAUGAUCCAUAGUACAAUGUUGCUCCUGGAGCUGUAUGGAGGAGGAAGGAAGCUAGCCAAGGCUUGGGCUGCUCCUUCUCUCCGGUGUUGCUGUUUUGUGGCUAGCCCUAUGCUCACUUGCUUUUCUCUCGUAUGUGUUUUUUGUUUGCCCUCUCGCUCGCCCUCCGGAGAGAUGAUUCCUUUCUCAUGAUCGUGGGCUCCCGGGGGGUUUUAUAGUCCAACCCCUCGGGGGUACAAUGGUAGUGUUACAAGUUGGUGGGUCCGUAUUGUUAGUGUCCGGGGACCCGGGCUGGGUCCCGUUGAGGGCUUGUGGUUCGCCGGGUUCCCCUAGGUGCGGGCCCCGCAUGCCUAGGGGGACUGUGCGCCGUCUUGUCGAUCGUCAGGGUGUGGCCGAGUCGAGUCACGUACAGUGCUCUCCGUCAGGUUGCCGCUUGCUGUCGUUAGCGGUGAGGGCGGGGGCACUGUAGCCACGCCGGCCCUGGUCAGCGAGUAGGUGAGGGGCACUGUUGCCACGUACCCGCUGACCAGAGGCAUGGGCGGGGCACUGUUGCCUCGGUCAUUGUUGAUUGAAGUCUCGUCCCCAUCAUACGGCCUGGAUGGGACGUGAGUUGACCCACGGCUAGAUUGCGUAGCACACCACGGGUGGCGCUGGCUUGUUGAGGAGGCUUUGGUCGUACCGGGUUCGGCUGUCUUGCGCUAGUUGUUGGGACCGAGUCGACGUGUCUUGCCGGGUCGGCUAGUCUGGCCAGCUUGCGGGGCUUGGCCGGGUCGAGCGACCCAGCCAAGCACGUGCCGGUAUUGAGGGGCGAUGCCAACCCCAUUGUUUUUUGAAGAGGAUCCGGGUUCCGUUGCCUGCCCGGGGUCCAUCCCUCCGACAGUAGUCCCCGAAGCUGUGAAGGUCCGUCGUCUUCAGAUGAGUGGGCCUUCACAGUUUCCCCCUUAAGAAAGGUGGAUUCUACGAGCGUCGGGUCCGGCAACACCCACUGUGUGCCGGUUUUCUCUGAAACCGGAUCGUGGCAUCUCGGCCGUGGCGGGAACCGAGAAGUCCGUCGAAUCUUGGGGCAAUCCCUCAGGCUUUGCGCGUAGCAAAGACAGAGCCAACUAGGAGGUGUUGAAUGGUUUCGUCAUGUUGGUUGCAAAGAGGGCAGGAGUACGUCCUGGUGAGGUAGUCCACGGCGGGCCAACUGGUCCGAUGUCCAGCAUCUGUUCUUGAGGGCAAGCCAGGCGAAAAAACAACACUGCAAGGGCGCCUUCGACUUCUAGGUGAACGUCGCUGAUAGGGAGACCACACGCCCCAUGAAACCUACGGCAUAGGCAGAUCUAGCCGAAAAUUGCCCGUCCUUCUCCCAUGACCAUGUCACCACAUCCUCAACGUCAUUCGUAAGCUGUCUUCCCGAGAUUAGGGGCCAUCAAGGCCUGAAUCUAUCAAUUGAAAUAAAGUACCUUGUUCGCAUUUUAUUGCGGCUCAUCCUCGCGGUUAGCCUACCGGCUACCGGCAAAUAGCCUGCAGAUCGGCGCUCGCCCACAGCCGUCCCUUCUCCGCUUCUCUUGAUGGUUGUGCGACAAAAAGUUGCGUAGAGAUCGCAUAGGCGAUAGCAGGCAGUGACUGGCGGCAGAUGUGAAUCUCAAUCGCAGCAGGCGACUGUGUAACGAAGCCAUAGCACGAACUGUGUGUGCGUGACCACGUGGCUGCGUGCAACUACCCGCUAAUUGGCCCCUUUGUCACCUAUGAUGGGCUGCGUAAGCGAUGAACAGUUGGGUAGCAGGAAAAAUAGCAAAAAAUUGAUUGCUAUUAACGAGGCGACGCGAUCGGUAGGGGGGUCUCGCCCCCCCCCCCCUCGUCCCUCCUUGAAUCCGUCCCUGCCCGUACCUUCAUUGGUCGUUGGGCAUGUCGUCAUCCACGGCUCCGUCCAUUGUGAAGGUGGAGCCGAUCAGAAGAGGAGUUCACGUAGUAGAUGGAGGAGGUGAUGCGCCGGUCGAUGACCGACCAUGGUCAGGCGCCGUCGUCGCCUCCGCUGAACCACGACAUCUAGAUCGGACGUCGCGUCAAGGAGGUGCCACCAUCCCCUCCGCACAAUCACGACAUCAAGAUCGGGCGUUGCGUCAGUCGUCCCCUAUGCAUAACCGCGGCUCACAUUGGACGUUGCGCCAAGGAGAAUCCAUCAUCUCCUCCGUGCAACUGUGGAGUCCAGAUCAAAUGCCGCAUCAAAGAGGAGUCGUCGUCCCCUCCGCACCGCCAGCCAGGCACACGACGCCCUAUCCUCCCAACUGUCAAGAAGGUGGAGCCGUCCUUCCUACUAUCGAAGCCGUCACCAUGGCUCCACUACUACCUCAAAAGGGGUCGGCGUCCAAGUGGCAAGGCGCCUGGUGGCAUUCGCAAGCCCCAUGUGGCGCCAACUUGGGUGCUCGUAGAGCUCACGCUUGCGAAGGAUUGGGCCCUUGAUCAGUCCAGUACCAGUGUACCACACCCUCGAGUCGGACACUCGCCGCUGUCAUCAGCGUCGGAUCAACACCCAACUCCUUCAAGUGGGGCUGGAGGAGUCUAAGCGAGCCAUCUGUCUCCAAACCGAGAACAAGCGGCGCAAGGCGACGACCAAAGAGGGAUGUCGCGAUGCCUGGAGGGCCUUCCACCACCGACGCCAUGACAACGACGACGACAACAACGGCGCAUGUGGCGGUGUCGACGAGGGCUUGGAUGACGGCGGGGGUGCUGGUGGCCUCGUAGGGAGUCGAGCCGGAUAUCCGCAGACAAGUUUUGAACGGUUUGCGGACAUUUGGUGAUGUCUAUGUGGUGAUCCGCGUUGGAGAUGCACGACAUGGCCGGAUAAUUUUGUCAAGUGCGCACGCAUGCGUUUUGCUAUAGUUGUAUCCUACCUAAAUUUCCAUUUUUGUACUUAUAGGUUAGCAACACUGGCGCAUGCCUGAACGUUAGAUGGUGGACAGCAAGACCCACCCAUGUUGCCGUGUAUUCAAGUGUUCCCCGUUGCUUUCAAAAUGCUACGCGGUCCAUGGUACGUACGCGGAGGCAGACAUUACAUUAAGCACCAAAAAUAGAAGAUCGCCGCAUUCAAUCAUCCGAUCUAGCGUAGCGUAGCUGGGUCGGGGCGGUGUUGACAUGUGUGCAGCUGGGUUGGGCAGGGACACGGCGUCACUGCCCCCCCAUCAGGGCAUUAUGGUGUCCAUCCCUGAUGCUGAUGGCGAUGCAUCACUGCUACUCGUGCACACGGCACGGCGUGUUUUCUUGGACCAGAUCUCCCAAGCGUAUGAUGGAUGCGUCGCCCAACGCUCGAUGAGAAGCACUGGAUCAAAGCACAAGGCAAACCUUUUUUGUUUCUCUGGCUCGUUGGCGGGGCGGUAGAGUAUAUUUCACAAAAAUACUACGUAUCACAAUUCAGGCAACCCUCCCUCGAACUAUCACUUAUCACUUACCGGGCAUCUCCAACGGCGACCAGCAAAUUUCUUCUGGCAUCCAUCCGCGGACAGGGAAGAGUUAGUCCACGGACAUGGAUGCGAGAUGCUGCCAUCCAACUGUGCCCGUAUACGGUUUAAACAAUUUUUCAGCAAACCAGAUAAAAUUCAUGCAAACAUGACACGAUUUCAUAUAAAAAUGUCAGAUUUUAUACAAACACGGCGCACUUUCAUUAGAUUUUGAACAUUUAGAAGAAAAACGACCCGAUCCUAAACCUAUCCUGCGGCGGUGGCGCCCGGCGUCCAAGCCCUUCCCGUCCUCCAUCCAUCGUCUUUAUGACCACUAGCGAUAAGACCGAUGAAGUGAAGCUGCAAUCUAAGGCGAGGAAGAGAAGAACGAGACGGACCGGCUCACAUGAGACACAAGGCCCUGCCGUCUUCCAUGCCCUACUCAUCCUCGGAGGAGUCCGUGCCUUGAACGUCGCCGGUGGACAUGAGGUCCACGAUGGAAAUGGUGGCGCCUGCGCUGUCGUCGUCCCACCGGGCCGCCGGACGGUUCGCCAGCGACGCGUCGGAGGCGCAACUGGUGUUGUUCUCCUCCGCGACCUCCUGGAGCUGCGCCUCCGCGGUGGUCGCUUCCUGGUGAGUAACGGCUUGAGCGCGGACGACAUCAUAGAUGGCAAGCUGCUUCGCAUCGAAGUUGGGGUUCGUCGCGGCCAUGGCCGCCACGGCCUCCUCGCCCGUGCGCUCGCCGUAGAUCUGGCCCUCCACCAGCCGGUGAUGCUCCAGGAGAAACAUGCUACACCGAUGUUCCUCCGGCGCCUGCUGGAACGCCGACAUAGGCGCCGGUGCAGGCUGCACCUCCGUCGUGGUGGCGUUAUAGUGUGCCUGCUCCAUGGUGAAGUCGGCGCGGGAGCCAAGGCGCUGUCGUCGGAACCCGUCUCCAUCGUGGUGUCGUCUUCGUCGUCGAAGACCUCGGGCGAGCUGGCCGGCAAGCCGGCCUUGAUUUGCCUGGCACAACGGCUCUGGUAGGCGGCGACAAGGGUGACCACCACAUGCUUCAUCUUUACGGAAAGGCUCGCCCAUAGAGCUUCGUCGCCUGUAGUCAUGGCGGAUGCAGUGCAAGAGACGAGGAUUGGGAGAGGGCUUGUGUUGUGGCAUGGAGUAGCCGGGUGUGGCCGCCUUUAAAUAGCGGAUUCCGGUGAGGCCAGACUUACGGGUGCUCAAUGUGCGGUCGAAGUGUGUUUCUCGGCCGGCGAACCUGCUUAAUGACGGCAUACGGACGGACAGGGCAUUGAACGUGCGUGAUAGAUAUACGUCUCAUCCUGCCCAGUAAUGUGUCUCUGGCUGAACAGGCGCGGGCACCGGAGACGCGUCACGGGCAGCGCCCUCGGCCGGCGUGCUGCUUCAAUUGGCGGAUGCAAUGAGAGGUCGCUUCCGUCCUGAGCCGUCUUUAAUGUGGAGCGGUGCGCUCUACAACGACAUGAAUGCGGUCGAGGAAGGAAAGGAUUUGGUGGGUCAGGAUGGUUAGAAGCAGGCGCAGGAGCAAUCCGGACUCCCGCAAAACCCCCCACAUUUGUCUCCGGUAUGUGAGAGAAAACGCGUCCAAGCUAUCAUGCAAAUCGAUACAGAUCUAUGUUAAAUGGUUUCCGCUAUUCGAACGGACGUGAACGAUUUGUGGAUCGGCUUUAGAGAUGCCUUACAAUUUUUGUCGGAGCAAGAACUCAGUGACAUAGGACCAGCCGUCCACGAACAAUCUCCCGUCACAGUGGUGUAGUCCGCGCGCGUCAUCACGCGCUGCCUGGAAACCAUCUGUUUUUUUUUAUACAUCCAUUUCUUUAAUAAGUAUUUUCAGACGGAAGGAGUAAUAAAGAGAACUUCCUUUCUAAUUUUCAUUUAACUGAAACCAUCUGUCCUUUUACAGUUUGAGAAAUCAAGAAAUAGUGUUGCGUCUGAUAAUGACAGACCUUGUGUUGUUGUUAACAUGAUUGCUACUCCCUCCGUUCCAUAUUAUCCGUCGCUGAUUUAGUACAAAGUUGUACUAAAGCGACAAGUAAUAUGAAAUGAAGGGAGUAGAUAAUGAUUUAACGAUUGGGUGAUUUUGCAGAAAAAACAGGAAAAUCAAGAGUGUUCGAAACGGAUAGUAAGUGAAGUCUUCAAAACGGUAUAUGGUUCUGAAGUGCUGCUGCUUCUUCCCUAUAGUACGUCUGUUACAGUACCUCUGCUAUAGACUUCAUGUGCUGGCGUUUUAGGGAAUGUUUUGUUGGCAAUGUACUACUCCCUCCGUCCCAUAAUGUAAGACUUUUUUUGACUUAAAAAAAAAAACGUCUUACAUUAUGGAAUGAAGGAAGUAAUGUAUAGUUUUUGGUACUUGCUCAUGGUUGCAGAGGCAGUGUCUGACUUGUUGCCUGU
rnacentral:lncRNA from 1 species